AAACCGACUAGUACAUUCACAAAAAAAACAUAUAUGACACUUUUCCCUUUAUGUGCUCCAACAUAACACCAGAAACGUUUUCCACGAAGUAUAACUGAUGUUUGUGAUGACAGUUUUAUCCGUAUAGGUAAAUUAAAUAAAGAAGACAUCAAAAAGUAGAAAAAACAAGAACUCUAUAUCGUUCAAGCAGUUUUCACUUGCAUUUAAAGAACUAGUGUUACCAUCUAACCUGGUUGAUGCUAUGACACGACCCACUUCAUUAUUUGGCCACCAUAGAGGAUCAAACAUACUUUAGACUGUAUCUCUUCAAGCAUUUUGCAUCUGGACCCGACACGAAAACACUACAGGCAGAUAGCCAACUCGACUCUGAACAAAAGCUCGACCAGCCAGAUCUAGAGUACUUCCAAUAAGGAAAGAAACAUCCUGCAAGUUUUCCCGCCUAUGUCAAUUUCACUGUAGAUACUCAAAUUUGAAAGAAAAGGUUCCAAAAAAUAUGCCAUCAGAUGAACCAACACUAGCAUGAAACCCAUAUCAGUUCAAGUUAAUGACCAACAAAUGCCCCAACCUUAAGGAGCUUUCAACUCAAGUGUAUGUAACACCGAAAAAGUACAUGACAGUCAAUAGGAGAAGAAACAACACAAUAAUACAGUGCAAAGAAUUGCAUCAACGAUAGUUAACAAUUGGUUACAAAUACAAACAUGAUGUUUGGGAGAGGUUAAAAGUGAGUCAAACUUACUUUUAAGUAAAUUUCUGUUUCUUCUUUUGUACAAGUAAAAGAAGUUUCAGAGAGAACAAAGUUAACUUAUUUUGUGAGUAGAAUGGGGUUACUUUCAAAAUAAAUAACUUAUUUAUUUUCAGCAUUGACCAAAAAAAAAAAAUUUAUUUGUUCCAGAGUGUUUCCAUUCAGUAGAUGUUUUGAACUUAUUCAAAUACGCAGACAGUCGUGCAGUGCUACACAGUUGAAGAGACCAUGAAGAGAGUGAUUACUAUACCUUCAACCGAAUUUGAAACCCCCAGAUGGAACUGGAAGUUCACCUUCGAGUUGAAUCCAGAUUGUGUAGUAUCACCAGAGGGCAGCUGCUCAUCCUCUUCUUCCAACCAAUAUGUUUCAAGUAUCUUCACUGCCUUUUCGUAUAUUUCAAUGUUGUCAUGACUCUGGAGGUUCUCAAUCUUCUCUAGACCCUCUGCAUCAUCAAUCAUUUGCGCAAAUUAUGAACAAAACCGACUAGUACAUUCACUAUAGUUACAUAUAUGACACUUUUCCCUUUAUUUGCUCCAACAUAACACCGGAAAUGUUUUCCACGAUGUAUAACUGAUGUUUGUGAUGACAGUUUUAUUCGUAUAGGAAAAAUAAAUAAAGAAGACAUCCAAAAGUAGAAAAAACAAGAACUCUAUAUCGUUCAAGUGGUUUUCACUUGCAUUUAAAGAACAAGUGUUACCAUCUAACCUGGUUGAUGCUACGACACGACCCACUUCAUUAUUUGGCCACCAUAGAGGAUCAAACAUACUUUAGACUGUAUCUCUUCAAUCAUUUUGCAUCUGAACCCGACACGAAAACACUACAGACAGAUAGCCAACUCGACUCUGAACAAAAGCUCGACCAGCCAGAUCUAGAGUACUUCCAAUAAGGAAAGAAACAUCCUGCAAGUUUUCCCGCCUAUGUCAAUUUCACUGUAGAUACUCAAAUUUGAAAGAAAAGGUUCCAAAAAAUAUGCCAUCAGAUGAACCAACACUAGCAUGAAACCCAUAUCAGUUCAAGUUAAUGACCAACAAAUGCCCCAACCUUAAGGAGCUUUCAACUCAAGUGUAUGUAACACCGAAAAAGUACAUGACAGUCAAUAGGAGAAGAAACAACACAAUAAUACAGUGCAAAGAAUUGCAACAACGAUAGUUAACAAUUGGGUACAAAUACAAACAUGUGUUUGGGAGAGGUUAAAAGUGAGUCAAACUUACUUUUAAGUAAAUUUCUGUUUCUUCUUUUGUACAAGUAAAAGAAGUUUUCAGAGAAGAAAAAAGUAACUUAUUUUGUGAGUCGAAUGGAAUUACUUUCAAAAUAAGUAAUUUAUUUUCAGUAUUGACCAACAAAAAUAUUUAUUUGUUCUACAGCGUUUCCAUUCAGUAGAUGUUUUGAACUUAUUCAAAUACGCAGACAGUCGUGCAGUGCUACACAGUUGCAGAGACCAUGAAGAGAGUGACUAUUAUACCUUCAACCGAAUUUGGAACCCCCAGGUGGAACUGGAAGUUCACCUCCGAAGUUGAAUCCAGAUUGUGUAGUAUCACCAGAGGGUAGCUGCUCAUCCUCUUCUUCCAACCAAUAUGUUUCAGGUAUCUUCACUGCCUUUUCGUAUAUUUCAAUGUUUUCAUGACUCUGGAGGUUCUCAAUCUUCUCUAGACCCUCUGCAUCAUCAAUCAUUUGCGCAAAGACAUUCACAUCUUCAAUGUUACCUCAGUUCUUCUCAGCUUCUCCAACCUUCAGUAUGUUCUCAAGACCUUCCAAGCAGACUGUGACAAUCCUUGGAUCAGGACAAACUAGAAGGUCGCACAAUGGCUUUAUACAUCGUGCACCAAGAACCUGCCACCAAGUUGAAGAAUUAAUAUUCAACCCAACUGUACAGUAACGUAAGUGAAUUAGAUAAUGGUUAAAAAGAACUAUAAUUGAUUUGCUCGUGAGUUCCCCCAGACGUGGCAUUUGAAAUAGCCCAAGCAGCCUCUUUCUUUAUCUCAAAUUCCGCAUUUUGAAGCAGUUGGACGAGAGGUGAAAUAAUACCAGCCUCAAUCACAGACUGUAUUUUAAGAUGACAUACGCUCAGCAUUUAUCUCUUAAAAACUUACAAACAAAAUCAGAACUGCAAGUGGCCGUGAUCCAUGAAAAUAAAAGUAGUACUAUAGGACAAAAAUAUAAAUGGUGAACAUUUUUAAACAAGACAACAAGAGAAAAAUCUUCAGUCUUGACGUUCAAACAAUAAUUUGACAACUAAUUUAAUGGUAAACAUCUAUAAACAAGACAGGAAGAGGAAAAUUCUUCAGUCUUGAUGUUCAAACAGUAAUUUGACAAUAAAAACUAAUAGCAGUUCUACUUCGACAUCCGCACCCACUCCCCCAAACCAAAAAACAAUUUCAUAGUAGUAACUUGUGUACCUGAAUCUGAUCCUUAUUCCCAGCGAUGAUGUUUGAAAUGGUCCAACAAGCCUCCUUUUUGAUGCUUUUCUUAUAAUUUUGAGUCAAGAAGUUAAGCAGACAAGGAAGUGCCCGAUUCUCAAUAAUAACCUGAAAAUCAUUAAAGAGAAGUGAGUUCGUGAAAAAGAUAUUGCUGCUUACAUUCUUCAAUGAUAGUAUUCUUAUUAGAGUUUUAUUUAGAAGGCAGGCAACUUGACUUUCUGAAAGAUGCUCAUAAGGUUGAUCUCUCCAGCUGAUAUAGAGUUGAAAAAGGGUUCAUCAAAGGAUGUUCAAGGGACCCUACAAUACAUUACAAUGGCAUACCAAGAAAUGCCCCCAUACACCUUGAGAAAUCACAACUAAUAUUCCAUUAAAUGAUUUAAAUGAAGUUAAGAUGCGUAGUUCAAUGAGAAGUGCUUGAAUCAAGAAUUUCAGUAUGCAUAACUAAGCAGAACUAUUUUGAAACGGAAAUUGAAUUUGAGUCAUUCGGCUUUAAAUAAAAACCAAGGCACUCCCAAGUCACUACAAGGAUGGUCAAACAUUUAAAUUGGUAUCAGAACACAGAGGAAGCCAUUUAAUAGGACCUUAUAGUAUUUAAAUUCGGGGUUGUAACAAUGAGAAACAAUGAUAAAGUAGGUAACUUCUGUUAAACAUCAUUAAGGAUAAACAGAAAUGCUGCAUAUAGACAUAAGGCCCUUGUUUGAGCCCCAUUUAUCAACCAAAAUACAUUUUCAACAGUGAUUUAAUAUCAUUUCAACCACACAUUUUUCAAUAAAAUAAUAUUAUACGCAAAUAAAAAAAAAUCCUUAUUUUUUAACCACAUAUUUUUUAUCAAUACACUAUUCAAAAAUUCAUUUUCUUCACAAAAAUAGGGCUCAAACAAGGGCAAAGUGAACAUUCCAAUUUCCAAGGGUGUCCUAUAGAGUGCUAAAAGACCGACUACAUAAAAAAACAAAAGAAUUAGAAAUAUCAGUAGAAAGUUUUUUACAAGGGCCAUGCUACAUGACCAUAAGGGUUGACACAACUUUUUACAAUGUCAGUGAAUAUCUCAUACCCACGUCAUGAGCAAAUUAAAAUAAUAGCAAAAUCAAUAAUAUCCAAACAACUUUUUUACACUUCCCAGUGUACCAAAUAAAUUUUCUAAACUAGACUAAGGGCAUGUUUUGUUAAGAUUAAAAAGUUUACAUAAAAGAGAAGCGAACACUUUUUUUAUCAUGUACGUCUUGGUCAAAGUGAUUUUGACGGAAGGCGGGUCUUAUAGUCAAAAUAAGUUUUUUUUACUUUUAUCUUAAAUAUUACAGAAGCAAAAAUAAAAUAAAUUGCGUUAUGUAUGGUCUGAUCAAAGUUAAAAAUAAGUACUUGUUUGUGCCCUAUUAAUUGUGAGUAAUGUAUUAUGAAAUAGUGAUUGAUGUUGAAAUAUGUUGUUAAAAAAGAAUGAUUUUUUAUUUAUUUACGUGUAAUAUUAUUUUAAUAAAGAAUGUGUGAUUAAAAACGAAUACUGUAAAAAAAAAAAUAAUGUAAUAGAAUGUAGAAGAAUUGUAGACAAACAAAGCUUAAGUAAAUUAUUUGGAAGUGAUGUAGAUCUUAAUAUCAAAUAAGUAAUUUGUUUUUACUUUCCAUUUUUAUUUUUUUUAAUAAAGUAAUCUACUUUUAAGACCGGCCAUGCUCUAAGAGGAAUAAGAUGAUAAAGACUAAAAAGCAACCCUAGUUAUUUGAAAAGGCUUCUUUCUUCAAAACAUAACUAACAAUCGUUCUCUACCACAUGUAGACUCAAUGAAUUCUUGUUUUAAUAUACUUGACCAUACCCUAGGCAUUCCACAUCCUACUAGUUUCACACGAUAAACUUUGCAAAAUGAAUAUAUUUGAAACAUGAACCAUCAAGCAAUGCAAUGCAUUUUUUCUCUAUCAUUGACAGGGAGAAAGGAGAAUACGAUACACAACAAAGGGGUAAGUACGUAGAACAACAUAAACUACUAAAAGACCAGAUGACAUACCGUAUACAUUUUAUACAUAAAACAAGUCAACAAGAGUUGGCUAGUAAUUUAGCAGACUGUUGAGACCACAAGAAGGGUGACCCGACCAAUUUUCCUACCAUGUGAAAACAAAUUCAUAGGCUUGAAAUUAAUAAAGGUCAAGUACAAGAGCCUGCUGGAUACCUGUGUCUGGAUGUCAUCUCCAGUCACAAUAUUACCAACAGUGUGCAGGGCAGGAAUCAACACAGAUGGAGAAGGAUGUCUAUAAACCACAAGAAACCAUAUUAGACAGCUACGAAGUGCAGUUAACAAAACCUAAAUUACAAAUUAAUUACACGAAUAUAGAUGUGAAAAGUAAGGAAUGAUGUCAAAUAUGAUUUCUCACUCACAGUAAAAGCUCAACCAAACGAGGGCAAACGCCAGCCUCGAUCACAGCUUGAAUUUUACCAUUGUCCCGUCAGAUAGACAUGACAGUGCCCAACAUGCAUCAAUAAGUACUUCUUCAUCAUUUGUGUGUAUCAGAUGAGCAAGAGCAAGGAGGGUAGGCUUCACCUGCUCAAUAAUUUUUAGAAGGAAUUGCCUCAAUAUAAUGUUGAAAAAUAUAGGCAAAUAAUAGUGUCACCGUAAUGUAUAUUUGGGCAGAGUAAUGACGUUUGGAUAGUUUUGAAUGGUCGAGGCAAGAGUUCGACUCUUUCUCCUUAAAACGAUAAUGCCUCGCACUGGUACUGACGAUAUUGCAGCACUCGUUUCCCAAGAUACAACGACCUCGUCUUGUAAUAGUAGUACUCCAAAUUACAAGACCCGACGGACCCAUAAAGUUUAGAUCUCUCCACACACACUGGAUAACUAAAAUGGACGGAAAAUAAUUAUCGAGGUCUGAAUUAUAAAAGCAGAAAUGAUGUAGGGACAAAGGGAUAAUUUCGGGAGAGUAGAAAAUCAAUUCUGAUUUUGGAAUGAAUUAAAACCGGGGUAUGGGGGGCCUAUAUAUAGAUGUUGAAAGGUUGUGUCCCAACAGACACAAUCGUCGAAAAGUUGUGUCCAAAAGACACAAACAGUUUCGACAGUCAACCGCCACAAUCCGCCAAAUUUUAGAAGCACCAUGUGUCACACACAGAAAAUUCGAGAAAGAAAAAAUAAUAACAUAAAAUAUAUUAUUAUUAUUAUUAAAUAAUAAUAAAUUAAUAUAAUUCAAAUGUUAUUUUACCAAAAAAUAUAUAUCAGCUUGGCCCAAGCCCAAGACCCACGACCCGUGAUCGUGCCGUGUCGAGCCGAGCCGAGCCGAGCCAAGCCAAACUGGCCGGACGGCGACCGCCGCGCGCGCGUGUGGCCUUUGGUUUAACCUACUAGCAUGUAGGUUCUUUUCCCCUCAAAAACUAUUAGUACCCUUUGGGGCCCAAACCCAAGUCCCAAACUUGAGCUAUAUAAAGUGGUUUAUAUUCUUCUAAUUUUCCUAUGUGGAAUUGGUAUUUUUCAAUUUCCCACCUAUUUUAUUUUAACAUCAAGUGGGCAUCUUUUGGCCUUAAUUUCUCAUUCACCCUAAAUUGGUUUUGAGAAAAUAAAUAUUCCAUAUUAAUCUACUCAUGGAGUAGAACACAUUUGGCCAAAGAAAUCUUAUAUCCGAUUAAUGGGACCCACUAAAUUAAUUGAUCAAAAGUUGGUCAAACCAACUAAUUAAAACCAAUUUUUCCAACAAUCCCUCACAUGAAUAGAAAUUAAUACAAUAGACUAUGCAGACCCUAUAGAGAGAUCAGGCGGAAUGUUAUCACAUCUCGAUAGGUACCUUAUGGGUUUGAACCUUCCGUAGUAGAAUACUAUCGGAUUUACUUGGUUAAUCAGUGAACGCGGUGUCUUGAACUGUUAGCCGUUUUUGUAAACCAAGACAAUAGUAUCAACACAAUAACCUUCCUAACAUUUUCGAGUUCUCACUGUUGUGUUCAUUUUAGCCCUGAACAACUAUUGGAUUUCAUAAGUGCUUUAGACAAUUCAAGCCUUUGAAACAUUCUCAUAGAAGCGGCCACACUUCACACUUGUAUAGGUGAUCUCCUAUUAAGAGUACCUGUCAUACUCCACUUAGGUAGUCCAAGAUAUAGGAAUCAUUAAAAGUAUAAGUUAACCUAAAACUUUCUGCAGAUAGCACUUCCUUAUCAUAGGAAUGGAUAGGAGUUAACUCCGAAGUGUUUAUUUGAAUCUUCAUAACUUAGUUGUCCCAUUGAACCAAGAUUUUGGGAUCUCCAGUCAGUGAGGUUGGGUUACCAUUACAAAGUUUCUUAUGUAGUAGGCUUUAAGUCCAUUCCUCUUGAUAGGCAUUAUACUUGAUCUCUUGGUAAGCCUUUGAUAAGCGGAUCCGCAAGAUUUUCUCUAGACUUUACAUAAUCUAUGGAAAUAGCACCAUUUGAGAUCAACUGCUUAACUGUAUUAUGUCUUCGACGAAUAUGUCGAGACUUACCAUUAUAUAUACUACUUUGUGCUCUACUGAUAGCCGACUGACUAUCACAAUGUAUACUAAUUGUAGGCACAGGUUUAGGCCAACAUGGAAUAUCCUCUAAAAAAUUUCGAAGCCAUUCUGCUUCCUCUCCAGCUUUAUCUAAAGCUAUGAAUUCAGAUUCCAUUGUGGAUCGAGCUAUAUAUGUUUGUUUAGAGGAUUUCCAAGAUACAGCCGCACCACCAAUGGUAAAAACAUACCCACUAGUGGAUUUUGAGUCUUUUGUAUCUGAUAUCCAAUUAGUAUCACUGUAUCCUUCUAAUACAGCUGGAUAUCUCGUAUAAUAUAAUCCAACAUUUGAGGUGUAUCGUAGUCAUUAUUUGGGUUACUUGUAUAUCUACUAAGUUUGUUUAUUGCAUAUGCAAUAUCCGGACGAGUGCAGUUUGUAAUGUACAUUAGACUGCCUAUGAUCCGAGAAUAUUCUAAUUGAGAUACGGGUUCGCCUUUAUGUUUGGCCAAAUGUAGACUUAAGUCUACUGGUGUUUUAACUGGACUAUCAUCAUACAUAUUAAACUUUUUAAGUACAGUCUCAAUAUAGUGAGAUUGAGACAUUACAAGUCCCUCAGAUGUUUUAAGAGUUUUAACUCCUAAUAUUACAUCUGCAAUACCCAUUUCUUUCAUGUCAAAAUGUUUUGUCAACAUUUUCUUGGUAUUUGUUAUCAUAUCAUAACUACUACCCACAAUUAGCAUGUCAUCAAUAUAUAGACAUACAAUUACAUAUGCAUUAGGUGUGGUUUUAAUAUAAACACAUUUAUCACAUUCGUUAAUCUUAAAACCAUUUGACAACAUAGUUUUGUCAAAUUUUGCAUGCCAUUGUUUUGGCGCUUGUUUUAGUCCAUUUAAUGACUUGACGAGUCUACACACCUUUUUCUCUUGUUCAGGAGCGAUGAACCCUUAGGGUUGUUCCAUGUAAAUUUCUUCUUCUAGCUCACCAUUUAAGAAAGCUGUUUUGAUGUCCAUCUGAUGGAUUUCCAAAUUAUGCAAUGCUGCGAUUGCAAUUAAUACUCUAAUUGAUGUUAUCCUUGUCACAGGUGAGUAUGUAUAAAAAAAAAAAAUCAAGGUCUUCCCUUUGUUUGAAUCCUUUAGCUAUCAAUCUGGCCUUGUAUUUAUCAACUGAUCCACCAGUCUUUAAUUUUCUUUUGAAAAUCCAUUUACAACCUAAUGGUUUAUUACCAGGUGGGAGAUCUACCAAUUUCCAGGUAUGAUUCUGCAUAAUAGAAUCAAUUUCACUAUUGAUAGCCCCUUUCCAGAAUGAAGUUUCUGGACUAGACAUUGCUUUAUUGAAUGUCCUACGUUCAUUUUCUAAGUUAAAAAAUCUGGACCAAAAGAUGUAGAUGUUUUGGUUCUUUUGCUGCGUCUUGGUUUUUCAUCACUUUGAGGAUUACUAAUUGCAGAAUUAUAAGUUCGUUUUUGUAGGCUUAUUUCUUUCCUAUCUUUACAAGGAAACUUGUCCUAAAAAAAAUGCAGCAUUCAUAGAUUCAAUGAUAGUAUUUUCAUGUACAUCCGGAAUGUCAGACUUAUGUACGAAGAAUCGAUAAGCACUACUAUUAUUAGCAUAUACAAUGAAUAUGCAAUCGAUGGUUUUAGACCCUAUUUUAACUUGUUUAGGCUUUGGUAUUUAUACCUUAGCCAAACACCCCCAUACUUUUAAGUAUUUGUACGAAGGUUUAUGACCUUUCCAUACCUCAUAAGGAGUUUCGUUUCUACCUUUGUGUGGUACUUUAUUUAAAAUGUGGUUAGUUGAGAUAAUUGCUUCCCCCCACAAAUUUUGUGGUAAACUAGAACUAACCAACAUAGCCUUCAUCAUCUCUUUUAAAGUACGAUUUUUUGCAUUCCGUAAUAUCGUUUGAUCGAGGUGAAUAAGGAGUUGUAGUUGGAUGAAUAAUCUUAGAAUCUGAACAAAAUUCAUCAAAUGGUGCUCCAUAUUCCCCACCUCUAUCACUACGAACAAUUUUUAUUCGUUUGAUUAGUUGAUUCUCAACCUCAUUUUUGUACUAUUUAAAUGCUUCUAAAAUCUCGUCUUUAUUCCUUAGCAAAAAGACAUAACAAUACCUUGUGCAAUCAUCUAUAAAAGUAAUAAAAUACUUUUUACCUCUUCUAAUUUGCACAAACUUUAAAUCACAAUUAUCACUGUGAAUUAGUCCUAGAGGAUUCGAGUUCCUUUCAACUGAAUGAAAUAGUGUUUUUGCUAAUUUAUCCUCUACACAUGUUUCGCAUCGAUGAUUUUGAUCAAAGGACAUAGAAGGCAAUAAAUCUAAACUUACUAAUCUUCGUAAAGUAUUAACAUUUACAUGUUCUAACCUAUCAUGCCAUAAGUUAGAAGACUCAAUCAAGUAACCAGAAGAUUUAUUUUUAUUAAUAUCAAAAUCACGAAGUACAUGCAUUACAUUCAAUUUGAAUAGCCCAUUGGCUAAGUACCCUUUGCCUACAAAUAUGCUAUUUUUGGUGAGUACAAAUUUGUCAGAUUGAAAUACCAGCCUAAACCCAUUCUUGCUUAACAGAGCUCCGGAUACCAAGUUUUUGCGAAUAUUGGGAACAUGCAACACAUCGAUGAGUGUUACUUCUUUCCCUGAUGUCAUCUUCAGCACUACUUUACCUAGACCAAUAACUUUUGAUGUUGUUGAGUUGCUCACGAAAAGUUGUCGUCCAUUGAUAGGAGUGUAAGAUGAAAACAUCUCCUUAUCAGCACAAACGUGACGAGUAGCGCCAGUAUCAACGAACCAUUCUCUCGGAUUAUCCACCAUGUUUGCUUCAAAUACAACAGCCGAGAGCAUUAGUCCAGACACUCCGUUAGACAGUUUGUCUUCUUCAGUCAAGUGCACUUGGUCCUUUUUGUUUUUCUUUUUCUGUCGACAGUCCUUUGCAAUAUAACCAGGCUUACCGCAGUGAUAGCAAUCUCCUUUGAAUUUCUUAGCCUUGCACUUUUGCUUGCCAUUAUUCGGGUGUUUCCUUUUCUUGCUAGUAGCUGGCUUCACCAAAUUGACUUUAGCCUCCAUUUGCUACUUUCCAGACUUCUUUUCAGCAUUUCGAUUGUCUUCCUCAAUUCUUAAUCUAAUAAUCAAAUCUUCAAGUCUCAUUUCCUUGCGUUUAUGUUUCAGGUAGUUCUUGAAAUCUUUCCACAUUGGUGGUAAUUUUUCGAUAAUUGCAGCUACCUGAAAUGGCUCACAGAGCUUCAUGCCUUCUGCAUGUAUAUCGUGCAAGAUAAGUUGUAUCUCUUGGACUUGAGUCAUUACUGUUUUAGAAUCUACCAUUUUGAAGUCCAGAAAUUUUCCUACAACGAAUUUCUUCAAUCCGGCAUCUUCUGUUUUGUACUUCUUUUCCAAUGACUCUCAUAGUAAUUUAGCCGUUUUGACGGAACAGUAUACGUUGUAUAGUGUGUUGUCAAGGCAAUUGAGAAUGUAAUUUCUGCACAAGAAGUCACUAUGACUCCAAGCAUCGAAUCCUGCUCGUUUUUGAGAAUAUGUUUCCUUCUCCUCAAUAGUUGGAGCAUCUUCUCUCAAGAUUUUGAGCAGAUUUAGAGUCGUAAGAUACAACAACAUUUUUUGUUGCCAUCUCUUAAAAUCCACUCUCGUGAAUUUUUUCGAUUUUUCCUCGUGAGCAUUGUUAGGGGGUACGACAGACGUACCAGGUGGUACAACAGACGUAGUACUACUUGCCAUUAUCGUUUUAAGAUUGUUGAAAAAUAUAGGCAAAUAAUAGUGUCACCGUAAUGUAUAUUUGGGCAGAGUAACGACGUUUGGAUGAUUUUGAAUGGUCGAGGCAAGAGUUCGACUCUUUCUUCUUAAAACGAAAAUGCCCUGCAUUGGUACUGACAGUAUUGCAGCACUUGUUUCCCAAGAUAUAACGACCUCGUCUUGUAAUAGUAGUACUCCAAAUUACAAGAUCCGACGAACCCGUAAAGUUUAGAUCUCUCCACACACACUGGAUGACUAAAAUGCACGAAAAAUAAUUUUCGAGGACUGAAUUAUAAAAGCAGAAAUGAUGGAGGGACAAAUGGAUAAUUUCGUGAGAGUAGAAAAUCAAUUUUGAUUUUGGAAUAAAUUAAAAUCGGGGUAUGGGGGCCAAUAUGUAGAUAUUGAAAGGUUGUGUCCCAAUAGACACAAGUGCCAAAAACUUGUGUCCAAAAGACACAAACAGUUUGGACAGUCAACCGCCACAACCCCUGCCAAAUUCUAGAAGCACCACGUGUCACACACAUUAAAUAAUAAUAAAAUAAUAUAAUUCAAAUGUUAUUUGCCGUGUCGAGUCGAGUCGAGCCGGUCGGACGGCAGCGGCGCACGCGCGUGUGGACUUUGGCUUAAUCUACUAGCAUGUAAGUUCUCUUCCCCUCAAAGACUAUUGGUACCCUUUGGGGCCAAACCCAAGUCCCAAAUUUGAGCUAUAUAAAGUGGUUUAUAUUCUUCUAGUUUUCCUAUGUGGGAUUGGUAUUUUCCAAUUUCCCACCUAUUUUAUUUCAACAUCAAGUGGGUAUCUUUUGGCCUUAAUUUCUCAUUCACUCUAAAUUGGUUUUGAGAAAAUAAUAUAAUUCAAAUGUUAUUUGCCGUGUCGAGUCGAGUCGAGCCGGUCGGACGGCGGUGGCACGCGCGCGUGUGGGCUUUGGCUUAAUCUACUAGCAUGUAAGUUCUCUCCCCCUCAAAGACUAUUGGUACCCUUUGGGGCCAAACCCAAGUCCCAAAUUUGAGCUAUAUAAAGUGGUUUAUAUUCUUCUAGUUUUCCUAUGUGGGAUUGGUAUUUUUCAAUUUUCCACCUAUUUUAUUUCAACAUCAAGUGGGUAUCUUUUGGCCUUAAUUUCUCAUUCACUCUAAAUUGGUUUUGAGAAAAUAAAUAUUCCAUAUUAAUCUACUCAUGGAGUAGAACACAUUCGGCCAAAGAAAUCUUAUAUCCGAUUAAUGGGAUCCACUAAAUUAAUUGAUCAAAAGUUGGUCAAACCAACUAAUUAAAAUCAAUUUUUCCAACAUAUAAAACGUUCAGCAGUUUUUAUAUGUAAUUACAGAGAAAAGUGAUAAUAGAACAAACCUGCUCAAACUGAAGAUGUGGCUUCCCCUGACAAAAGUUUGACAACGUCCACGUUGCAUUUCGCAACAUGGAUAGCUUUGCUUUGUCAUUAAAUUGUGCAAAUAAGGGCAUUAAUGAUCCAUAACUAAGGACAAGAUCACGACAUUUUGGUGAGUUGCCAACAACAUUUCCCAACGCCCAAACUGCCUACAUAAAGUAGUUGAACAUAAAGACAAAAACAGCCUGAAAUUUAAAUUUAAAGCUGAAGCACAUUACAAUAUCUACCUGCUUGCCAACAUCAUCGCUAGGGGAGUGGGAUGAAGCCAGACAUUUGGCAUUGUGGGGUCAAACGGACAAAGGUACGUAGUAAUAUAUAGCUCUUGUUUGAGCCACAUUAUUUUCAUGACAAUGCAUUUUUGAAUAGUGUAUUGAUAAAAAAUGUGUGUUAAAAAAUAAGAAAAAUUUUGAAUUUGCAUGUAAUAUUAUUUUGUUGAAAAAUAUGUGGUUGAAAUGAUAUCAAAUUACUGUUUAAGAACGUAUUUAUUGAAAAAAAAAAGAUGUUUGUCAAACAGGGCCAUAAUAUAUUUCAAAUGGAUUAAGCCAAACGAACAUAGCCUUUGACACAAUGGGUGAUAUAACACUCACAACUGAGGUGUGGGUCCCCAUAAAUAAAAUAAUCCCGACCUCCCCCAUGUGUGUGUGCUAUGUCAAUUGGGGUGUUAUCCUCUAUGGCUAUGUAGAUGGUCCUUUUCAAAUUUCAAAAAGUAGAAAUGCAUUUGCAUAUCUCAAAUUUAAAAAUUAAAAGCAACUAAUUAAAGACCCAAAUUAACAGGAAAAACAAAAGCCACAUCCAAAUCCAAUUGAUAUAGGUUUGCUACGGAGCUAACUAGAUGGAAAAAAAAACAAAUGUCAAACAAGUAGAUGAUAGAUUUGUUACUUAGAUAGAAAAAAAAAAUCACAAAAAAUUGGCACAAGAAAAGAAAAUCUCAAAAUAUGAAUUGUGAAUUGGCAAUCUUGAACUCUUUGUGUAAGUCGAUUCUUCAUUUUUUUUUCUCUUCUUUCCGUAGGACUUUAGGGCAAUGGACGGUCCAAGACUACAAAUGCAUAUAAAAUGAUAAAAAGCAAAGUUUUGAUAAUAGGCAAUUGGGCUUGGCAAUGGGCUUGUACAAUUGGACUUGACUAUGGGCAAAAUUUUGUUUAAUUUACAUAUUAAAAAAAAAAAAGGUUUGGCAAGAAGUUUGAAUAAUUUACAAAUUUCACAAAAAAAAAAAAGGUCAAAAAUUUUUGUGAGGUCAAUUUACCCCACAUGACGCCAUGUGGGUCCGUCUAUGCUAGGGGAACUAAGAAGUCUCACAAAAAUGGGAACUGCACCUUGAUCAAUCACGACCUUGGUGUUAUCAAAUGUUCUAGAUGCAAUGUUUCUAAGAGCCCAAGCUACCUCAAACUAGAAACAGGAAUAACACAAUGCAUGAUCUGAAAAAAAUAGCAGUUGAAAUACAAGAAAUGAACAAUUAUUAGCACAAAUUUAAACCUGAAGCUGCGGGUAAUCAUCUCUUGCAAGAAACUCAACAAAUCAAGGAACAACUCCAAACUAUAACUUCCUCAAUUGGUGGAUUUCGUUCUGAGCCAAAAAAUAAAUAAAACGCAAACAAAAUCAGCUGAAAGAAAAAACUAACAAUAAACAGUAAAAGGUCCAUUUCAAAUUAAAUAGAAUCAACGAAGAUAAUUAAUGAAUUACCUAUUGAAAGAAGUUUGCGAAACUGAGUUGUGGCCUCGAGUUGCGGUGUGCCAUAAUUUGAGCAAACAUCAGCGAUCAUUUACAUUAGACUUUCUAACUGAAAGAUUGAAAAAUGAAAAUCCAAUAGCACAAAACCAAAAUAUUAUUCCAUCUAGAGCAAAGACAAAUCAAAUCAAACUAUUCUCAUCUCACGUUUCUUCAUGAAUUAAAAUGAACUUUAUAUCGCGAAGAUGCGAACAACAAGCAUAAUUAACGAAAACAUUGUUGGAAUUUAAAUUGGCAGUGUAUGGAACCAGAUUCACACAUAUAGUAUACGUAAUUUAGAUAUCGGAUUCACGCUUACCAUAUUUGGCAGCUUAUCGUAUGUGCUGCUUACCGUAUUUGGUAGGCUGCCGUAUUUGGCAGCUUAUCAGCUUACCAUAUUUGGCAGCUAUCGUAUUUGACAGUACAACUCAUCGUAUAUGACAGUUAAUUAACCACAGAAUUUACACAAACUGUUUGUUUUCAUAAACUAAUUUAGAUAAUACAAAAUUUGGACAAAUUGUUUGUUUUUAUACAAUAACUUAAAUAACACAGAAUUUGUACAAAUACAGUUUCAUAUAUAUAUAUAUGAGAGAGAGAGAGAGAGAUUAUUAACUAAAUUAUGAGAAUUAAAACAAAUUAGUCUACUUAAAUAUGUAUAACAGAUUACAUUAUUUGCAAAGACAGAAAAGCAUUAUAAAUUUCAGAAACUGAGAUUUAAAGCUAAAUAAAUUUGAAAGCAUGUAAAUUCUGUAAAUAACGAAAUGCACAAAGAUUUAAAUUGGGAAACAUAUAAAUCUGGAAAUAAACUUUUAACUCGAGGCCUGUGUAAACACAAUUUCCUUAAAACAGAUUCGCCCUCUCAUUAUGCGUGCUUGAGCUUUAAUCCGAGCGUCUGUUUUCCAGGAUACAAUCGUAUUACAACAGAAUCUAAGCACAUCAGACAUUGCUCCGACGAACUGAUUUAGCACUCGAACAGUAUCACCACCAAUAUGUAGACAGAGACUCAAAGUAUGUAUGCAAAACAAAGAACGACUAUGCAGAGGGUUUUUUUGUUGUUUUUUCGUGUCUAAGUAGUGGAGGAGCUUGCUGAAUAAAUAGGCUAUAAUGGAGACUUCAAGGCCAGGAGUUUCGUCAUUAACUCAGCAAUGAAUAUUGGAGUUUCGACUGUCUUAAAAUUUAAACAGUAAGUUGAAGAAAGCCAAAAAAUUGUAGCAAAACGUGGACUAUCCAAAGCGGCCAAUUUUUGCUCCGUUCUAUCCGAUAUUUGUGUACGCAGGUCACGCCUGCACACAAGUUCAAGGCUCGGUGUACACUUUCGAUCCUUGAUUUGCACCCCCUGCGUGCGUACGUAGAGAGAGUCUCUAUACUACAUAUGAUUACACCCUUCCAAAGUAUAAUCCUUUAUAAAGUGGUUCAUACUUUUUUCAAUUUCCUAUGUGGGACAAAGCUAAAUAUAGUUAUCUAUCAACAUAAACCAUUUCCAAUGGUUCACUUUAAACUCCAAUUUCUCAUUCAUCCGUUCAUCAAUUUCGACAAAUAAAUAUAUGGUUUCGAUGCUCUCACGGAGGUGAAUACGGAUUAACUUUGAUCUUCCAAAUUGGACCAACGGGUCCCACUCAAAUUUUAUGCCAAAAUUAGUCACUAGCCCAUUUUUUCCAACAAAUAUUAACCUUUCAAGCCAAAUUCGAAAUUGAACGAUGAACUAGUAUAACUUCUUGUUCAACAAUCAACUACAACAACGAAAUAAAAUCUCAUAUAAUCCAGUUGAUCAAAGCUCUAUGGUGUUCAUAAAAGCAGAAGAAUCAAUCGUAAGUGCGUCUUCACCUUCUUGUCCACCUGCUGAGCGUUGUUGACGGUGGGCUGAAACUGCUGCGCUUGAAGGCCUUCACGGUGCUUCUUCAGCAAGCUCUCCUCCCUUCGAUUUUUUCGAAUCUCCAACAUGUUGUCCUCGCGCAUCCAUUGCCACCUUGUACUUGCUCUGCCUUACCUCCGUUCUCGCGUUUGGCCUCAACGACAUCGUUUCCACGAUUUAGAAAACGAGAAAACCUCAAUUAAUUAAAUUCAACUUUUAUGUAUGUAUAACGACAAGAGUAAGAGAGAGAGAAUGAAGUUUUUGAGUGAUUGUGGAAUGGGCUGGUGAGGUGAUCUCGAGCCUGAGGUUUCAAGUUUCAACAACUGCCUGAUGAUCGAACGAACAUGGUUUCUCAUCUUAUUUAGGGUAAUGUCACUGAAUUCCAAAUUUGUAGUUUGACUGCCUGUUUUGCAACACAAAUAUUAGCUAGAUGAGGAUCAAUACUUGAGUAGAACAUCGUCCUACAUUUGGUACGAUCUUUCAAUAAGAAGUCGUCAUCUCAUCGGUCUUGUGAGGUGAUCUUGAUUAUUUGGUUUCAACAACCACCUGAUAAUCAAAUGGACAUGGUUUCUCUUCUUAUUUACAAUAAUGCCACUGAAUUUCAAAUUUGUAGUUUGAUUGCUUGUUUCCCAACAAAAUUAUUAGCUAGAUCAGGAUUGAUACUUGGAUAGGACACUAUCCUACGUGUGAUGCGAUUGUUCAAUGAGAAGUGACCACCUCAUCGGUCCGAUGAGGUGUUAGUUUCUCAUUACAUGGUUGCACCACAUGAUCGUCCUACCCCAAGUAUUUCUCAUCAAAUAGUUAUGGUAUAUCAACAUAAAAAAAUAUAAAAAAUUGUUGCUUGAGAUUUAAGAGUAAGGUGUGAGACUAGCAUGAGUUUUACUUGGUGUACAUCGAGUCUGACAUCAUGGAUGACAUUGUGUAAGUUGGCAGCUUUUUGUAUAUUGAUUUUAACAACAUUUUUUCUAAUCAAUGGCCAAAUUUCCAACAUAUAGGGGGAUGUCAUCCAAGAUGUCAAAGAGGAAUGUGCAUAUAAAUUAAUCCAACCGGCAUCUAUGUGAUGAGAAACUUGUGAAAUCAUGUUUGACUGAGUUAAAUAAGCUUACAAAAAUGGCCGAACAUGAUUAGUCUGCAAUUAAUAUUUGAAUUUAUAUUUUAUUUAUCGAAUAUUGUUAAAAAUUCUUAAUUGAUGGUCAACAACUUCAACCACAAUGAUUUGAUCAAAUCAAGAUCUAAAGGAUAAUGUUGUCACCUUUUGGAGCUCUUUCAUCAACAAUUGUUCUCUUACAAUAUAUUGUAAAACUAUUUAGAAUCUCAAGGAAUCAGAUCGCAAUUGGGCAAAGCUCGAAUUCUUGAUAGAUAAGAUCUUUUAUAACUAUCAACUGUCUAUAUGUAUGCAUACUCGCUACUUGACUUUGUUGGAUUCCUGUUUUCACACGUAUUUAUUUUGUACCAUAAAUGGUAUAAAAAAUUCAUUAUAUAAAGAAAGUCGAUUUUGUCAAUUCGAGAAAUAAACAAAAAGUACAAAAUAACUUCUUGUAAAUAUUCAAUGAUGAUCAAGUGCAUUGAGAUUUCAGUUGUACAAUAUGUACACAACAACUUACAUAAUGGUUUACCAAUAGAUAUUUUGUGAGAUUUAACUGGAUCAAAAUCUCAUGCAUUAAAUAAUUUUCCUACUUACAUUUUGACACCUCGUCACUUUAUGGAAAUAUUUCUGUGCAAGAAGAUUUUCUUUGAGAUUUUGUCGGGACAUCAGUUAACAUGACAUAACAGUUGGACAAUAUUGUCACAUUUUUUUAGGUUUUGUCACUUCUUUAAAAUUUCUUGUCACUUUUCAUUUAAUAGUCUUUCUCUUCUCUUUUAUAGGAUUAACAGUUAAUCGUACCAUAGGAAUAUUGAACAGUGACAUGAUACUUUUUAACAUUGUUAUACUUUUUUACACUCUGAACUUCAUAAAUUUGUUAUCAAAUUUAGCUUCUGUGUAAAAUAAGGAUUAUGCCAAUUAUUGUAUUGAUUGAUUGCAUAUUAAUGAUAAUAAUGGCAGCUUAAUAUGUUUUUAACGGUAUUAAAACUUAGCUUCUUGAAAAAGUGAUAUGAUAUAUCACUUUCUUAACUAACAAAUCAUUUUUCAUUUUAACAAAGGUUGUUGUUUGUGCAUUUUAUCGGGACAAUGAUUUCAACCAUUUGAUCACUUUUAUAUUCGUAAUCUUGUUUCCAUUUACCUUCAUAACAAAUGAAGAUGUUAAUUUUAUCUAUAUUUACGAAAAGAAAAAAAUAAAAUAUUAUAUUAUGUCACUUUUUAAUAUAAAGUAAGGGCUUGCUUAAGAGUUUCUACAAUACCAAUUAUGAACGUUUUUUAAAGUGACGAUUUUGAGCGUUUAUGAGCGGAUCGAUUUUGAAGGGUUUGAGUAGCGAUUUUUAAAAGGGCAACUUACAAAAAUAUCCUUAAAAUUAGAUAUCUUUUGAAAAAUCAUAUGAAAAGUUUUUUAGAAGUAAAAAAUAAAGUGCAAAAAUAAAAAGUGACACAAUGUCACUUUUAAAAAUUUAAUGCCACUUUUAUAUUAGAAAAUGAAAUAAAAUCUCAUUUUGAUUAAAAAGAAAUGUUUGCCACUAAAAUAGUGAUAGAAAAUUCAAGAAGGCAACUGAAAAGAAGUGACAAAUUCAAAAAAAGUGACAAGUACUUAAAAGUACAAAAAUUCAAAAAAGUGUGAGAGAUUUAAAAAAAAAAAAAAAGUGAUGAAUUUAAAAUGGGAAAAUUUCAUAAAUAAGAGGAUAGCUAUGACCUAUUUCAAAAGUAAGAAAAAAGGUUUCAAAUUUCAAAAAUCAGAUAUUUAUUAAAAUUUAUUUAUAAUUUAUUUAAUUAAUUAUAUAUCUUAUUAAUUAAACAAAUUAAGUCAUAGAUCUAUAAUUUGGUCAAAGAUUUAUAAUUUAAUCAGUCAUAUAUUAUUUUUCGCUCUGAAAUUAAAAUUUUUUUAACAUAGUAAAUUAUUUUACGGUCACAAUUCAAAAAUUUACAGGUCACACUUUGUUCAUCCGUCACAGAUACACGUCACAAUUGUGUUUAUAGGUCACAUAUUUUUUGUCACAAUUUAUCUUUUUUAUUGGUCACGGAUUAACCAAUUUAAUGGUCACAAUCAAUCAAAUAAUAUGUACUCACAACCAACACUUGCGACGACCACUGCUUCCAAUGGCACCACUGUCAGAACCACUACCACCACGAGGUUACUGAACUUUGCAAAAAGUUUUCCAGGAGCUCUUGUAAGACUUUUUGCAAAGUUUAGUGAUGAAUGGAAUGAUUUUUAAAGUUCAGUGAUCCCGUGGAAACCUUUUGCAAAGUUCAGUGACCACUUGUAAAUCUUUUGCAAAGUUCAAUGAUGAAUGUGGUGAUUUUUAAAGUUCAGUGACACGGUAGAUAACUUUCUGUAAAGUUUAAUGACUAUUAGGGUAAUUAACCCCCACUAAGCUCAUAUUAUAUAUAAUUUUAUCAUUUUAGAGUUUCUUAUUUUAUGUGAUAGUAUCUAGGGAGAAUUGUAGUUGGGAUCCCAAACCUCUCAAAUUAUUGUAGAUUAUACCAUAACUUUUUAUUUUUGCAGUUGGGGUCCCAAAACUUUCAUCUCUAUUGCAGCUCUAGGACGUGGACGGAAUUCACCAAUUUGUUGUUAGUUGGCCAAAAGACAACGGUCCGAAACGAUUUAUUUAUUUUAAUUUUUAUAUAGGAUAUUUUGGUUGGAUCGUUGACUUUUGAUCAACUAACGGCAAUAUGGAUGGAUUUCAUCCACAUGUUCUCCAGAUGCACUUAAGAUGAAAGGUCUAGGACCUAGCUACAAAAAUGAAGGACUUGCAACAAUUUAAAGCGGACCACAACUGCAAUAUUUCUUAUCUAUUAGAAGUUCCACCACGUUAUUUUAGGCUUCAAAAAUAAACUGUAUGAUGUAAACUGCUCAAAUUUUCGUAUUGGAAUUUCAUUAUAAUUUUGAAUUAAUCCAGUGGUACAUAAUUGGGUAUACCUAAUUAUUCGGGUAGACCCCCCACCCCAUGUGAGAGGGGUGUACACCCUUAUGUACCACUAGCAAGAUUUUAUGAUUUUAGACGACAAGCGUGUUGUUCAUUGUUAAUAAAUAUUAUUUCAUAUAAAUUCAUAUAUAAAAUAUAACUUAAUUAAGAAAUUGUAAAGAAAAUAAUAAUUAUGGUACCAAUUUUCUGUAUCUAAAAGCCUAAAAUCGAUAACUAAUUACACCCAAAGUAUAACGCGGUGAUUGUAGUACAACUUUGGGGUAUCGUAUCCACAGGGAGAUGGAAAAUAAUCCAAAGAAUCAAAAGCUAGGGUUUUGUUGUGAUUUUAUGUGAAUGUAAUGUGUCAAUUGAAAUAGAAUUCAAAUAACAAUGUAUAAGUUAAUGAAAUUUAAAUCAAUGUGUGAAGCAGUGAAGCACCGGAAUUCUCUCGAUUAGAUUGGGUCAAUCAAUGUCAAUUAUGCAUGAAGUUACUCAAUUAAAGGUUUUCAUCAUAACACUUUAAUUGAAAGAUUUAACAUUCAAAUCUAUUCAAUUCCACAAUAAUUCCCCAACCUAGAUUUCUUUCAAAAUAUAAUUUCACAAUAAUCCAUUUAAAUUAGAUCCAAAAGCAAUUAUAUACAUCAAGCAUAUGGAAAAGAAUCACACCAAUAGAAGAUUUAAGAUUGAAAUUCAAUAAAUACUUCAAUUAUUCGAUGGAAAAAACGUGAUUGAAUCCAUGAAAAUUUAAUACAAAUUAAACCAACCUAAAAACAUGUCCAUAAGAAUAAAAAAUCUAAAUCUAGAAUUGUUUAACAAUGAAAGAGCGUAUUUAUGCAAGAAAAGAUAUGAAAAUUCCCAAAUCUAACCGAGUUCCUUCGUGAUUCAGCAAUAUGUUUAGUUUUCCAUGAAUUUCUUGAGCCAAAAACCAAAGAAAAGUGAUAGGAAGUGGAUGGUACUGGUUCUGGGACGUUUUGGGGCUUAAAACCGUGUGCAAAACGCAUUUCCAUAAUAGGUUGAACCGAAUAAGGAAAGUAAAUUUUCGGCCAGAAUUUUCUGUGCGACUGCUUUCCAUAUUUUGGCCAUAACUUUAUCUCCUGAAGUCCAAUUGAGGUGAUUCAAGUUGCAUUGGAAAGAUAACUCAAAGUGAUACAAUUUUGCUAGAAAUAUCUCUUCCAAAUUAGGCCGUUUACUAGGUCAAAAAUUGAUCUUAAUCUUCAACUGAAAAUUUGAAAAAUCCUUAUGCAGUUGGAAUUUGAUUUGUGAAAAAAGUUUGGGCAUAUUUAACUUCUUUUUACUAUUAAUUGCAUCCAGUGGACUCCAAAAUUUAUCAAAUCAUCAUUCCAUCGCCGGUCUCAUCUUUGGAUUAUUUGCAACUUGGCCACUAAACUUUCACUUUGGUUAUUUUUCACUCAUUUCUUCCGAGUUUCGCCUUUUUCAUCAAAUUGCGACCUAGAAAAAAAACAUAAGAGUGAUGAGUGCAUUUUGACAUCAAGUAAUCAUACUAAUAUAACAAUUAAGAGGGAAAAAAUAUCAUAUAUUACACUCUUAUCACACCUCCAACUUGCUUAUUGUUAGUCCCUAGCAAUUUAAUGCAAAACAAAACAAAUGAGUGAUUGAUCUAUAUUACAAGUAAAGUUGUUGAGUUCCAAUUCAACUGCAGUUCAUUAUCUUUUCAAAUUCAAUACCACAAGAAAUUAACACUGUUAUGAUCAUCAAGAUAUCAAAAAUACUGCUAAAUAUGUGAGUGUAUGUCAAGCCAUAGUCAUCUUACUGCCAACUCUAACACAUGUAGCAUCAAGUAUGCCUUGAGCCAAAGGUUCAACCCAUAACUCACAGGUAUCAAAAUGUUUUGUGCGAUUUUCUCUCUAUGGAGCUGAGAAAUGGAUACACUCAUAAUUUGGAGGCUUAAAUAUUUCUGAAUGAGCAAUAAGCGAACAUUGAUAUUAUGAUAGGUAUACUGUCAAAUGAGAAUUCAUCACUUUCUUACCACAAUCAUAAUUGGGAUCAAAACAGCCAAUGUAAAGGGUUGUAGUGUAGUUUGGGUCAGGUUGUAUGAAAAUGAGGAUAUAAAGAUUCAAGGACUUCCAAGCAUGUAGUUAGGCAUCUCAUCAAGUAUCUCGAUAGAUUAUAUCCUUCGAUUAAUACGUUCUUUAGUAUUUCAACCCCAAAAUCAAUCAGUUUUUUUUUGUCUUGUUUUCCUUUUUCUUUUUCUUUUUCUUUUUCUUUUUCUUUUUUUUUUUUGGUUGUUGAAAGGUACAAUUUUUUUAUCCUAUAUUGACUUUCAUCAUUUCCCAAGUAACUUACCAUUUUACCACAAGUCAUAUGUUCUCAAAAGAGUUUCCAAUUCACAAAAUCAAUGAAUGCUCAUUGCUAUUUUAGUGCAAGAUGGCUCUCGAUCCUCAUUAACUCUCACAUGAAAACUUUAGCAAGAAACUCCUCUAACUAUAUGUGUUAAACCACUAUCUUACCACAAGGCUUGUAUGCGCAAAAGAGUUCAGCAAAUGUCUUCACAUCCAAACUUUCGCAAACAACAUUAAUUCCUAGUGGCAUAUAUUGUCAUUCAAGAACAUGUAGCGAAUUAGAGACUUAAAAAAAUUUGAUUAAAAUUCUAUGUAAAGCAUGCAAUUCUCAAUAAAAUUUAAGUUAAACUCUCCCCCAACUAAACAUUGCAUUGUCCUCAAUGCAAAAACAUGCCUGCCAAAUAAAGGUAAGGAAGAUAUCACCUGAGUACCGAAGUGAAUCACAUGAAUUGAAGUAUAAAAAGCUCGAAAGUCUUCAAUAGAAAGGUUAAUGCAGAGAAUGAAAAUAAAAUGAAUGCAAUGAAUAAUGCAUGGACUAAAUCUAGAGAGAGUGCAUAAAUCAAAAUAAAAAGAAAGAGAAGGGAAUGAAUUCCCAUUGGGUUGCCUCCCAAGCAGCACCUUUGUUUAUUAUCGUUGGCUCGACCCAAUAUUGCCUUCUUUAGCUCGCAUCCAGCCAGGGCGUUGUCAACAUUCUUUGCAUUGCACCAAGCUCAAUGGAAAUGAUCGCCGGUGAUGAUCCACAAUCCUGCAAAUCGUCAAAGGCAGCACAAAUAUUAGUAUAUUCCCCAUCAUCAUACCCUACUGGAAUUUCAGAAUUUAAAAGGAAAGAAUUUGAUGGAUCGGGGUCAAUAAGCGCAUGUGCUUCCUUCUCAACGAGUGCAUCAAUCAUGUAUUUUGACGACACCCAUCAUCUUUCUCGGGCUGUUUCAUGACGUGAAAGAUAUUGACAUCUAAGGUCAUGUUCCCAAAAGAUAGCUUCAGCAAACCAUUCCUACAAUUGAUAAGAACGUUAGUUGUAGCAAGAAAAUGUCUACCAAGAAUAAUGGGAAUUUUGGAGUUACCAUUCACAUCAAAAACCAUAAAAUCCACGGGGUAGUAAAACUUGUCAAUCUAUACUACUACAUCCUCAACUACUCUCCUAGGUCUAAUGGUGGAUCGAUCAGCUAAUUGUAGGGCCACAGAAGUAGGUUUGAUCUCACCUAGACCUAACGCCAAGUAUAUAGCAUAAGCGUGAUGUUGACACUAACCCCUAAGUCGAGGAGAGCUUGUGAAAUCUAAUGGUUUUCUAUAACACAAGAAACAGUAGGACGACCAGGGUCCUUAUAUUUUGGCGGGACUUUUUGUUCAAUUAUUGCACUCACAUGUUCAGUUAAGAAAGCGAUUUUCUUGACAUGGUGCUUUCUUUUUACAGUACACAAGUCCUUAAGGACUUUAGCAUAUGUGGGGACCUGAAAAAUCACAUGCAAGAGAGGUAGAUUGACUUUUACUUGCUUGAGGUGCUCUAGGAUUUCACUGUGUUGACCAGCAGAUUUAGAGGUCGACUUGAGGGCUUGAGGAAAGGGCACUCUAGACGGAUUUUUUCACUAACUCCUCACUAGGGGUGCUUUCUUCAAUACUAUUGGGAUUCUUCUCACUUUUCCUAGAUAUGGGGGUUGGUUCUAUGACUUUUUCAGAUCUAGUGGUUAUGGUAUUCACUUCCUUAAAGUUGGUCCCUCCUGAUCCUGGAGUUUGUGCCAUGUGUUGUCCCUUUAGAUUUGGUUGAGCUUGAGCUAGAAACUUCCCACGUUCUCCUACAACUAAGGCAUUGGUUAGUUUGGACACAUGAUUCUUUAUCUCUUUGCUUUCCUCAACUAACUGGCCAAUUAUAGUCUCAAAUUUUUUAUUUGUUUUGCCCUGUGCCUCAAUAAAUGUAUGUAGGGCGUCUUCCAAAGAGUUCCUAGAGGAUGUGGUUUGGUAUGGAAGUACAGUGUAAGCUCUAUUUGACUGGUUUCCAGGUUUCCAGCUGAAAUUGGGGUGAUUUCGCCACCUUCGAUUAUAGGUUUCGAAAUAGGAAAUAGGGAGUAUAGGACUUUUGAUAUAUGCCUAAAGCAUUACAGUAUUCCUCAUACAGUCCUCUUAUCUCAACAUAAAUAGCACACUCUUAUGCUGGAUGAUCAAUUCCACCACACACAAAACAAGGCCCUAAAAACUCGACACGGGAAAUAGAUUGUGUGGAUUUCAAAUCCUUAGCACGUAAGGCUUCAAGUUCUCUAGUAAGGGUUUCUACCUUGGCUCUAAGGUUGUCCUCCUCCCUAAGUUGGUAAAUGCCUAUGCUAGUUGGGUUUCCUGUGGGUCGUGACCUAUUAGUACUCUCAGUGGCACUCAGUCCAGUCCAGUAUGAGCUUUCUCAACUAAAUCAUCUAAGUAGUCUAUAGCCUCAUCUGGGUCUUUUUGCAAAAAUUCUCCAUUACACAUCAUUUCAGUAAAUUGACGCCCGUUAGGUGUUAGGCCUUCAUAAAAAUAACUCACCACACGCCAACUUUCAUAACCAUGGUGGGGACAAAGGGCUUGCAAUUCUCUGUACCUUUCUCACGCCUGAUAUAAAGUUUCAUUGUCCUUUUGGACAAAAGAGGAAAUUUGUUUCUUCAGGGCAGUGGUUUUAUGAUGUGAAAAGUAUUUACCAAAGAAUGCUUGUGUCAUUUAAGCCCAAGUCCCAAUCGAACGUGGUCUCAAUAAAUACAAGUAGUUUUUUGCUCGUUCUUUGAGUGAAAAUGGAAAAAAUUUAAGCAUGAUUGUGUCCAUUGUACCAUGUUGAUUGUGGGAGGUUGAAACCACAUCUUCAAAUUCCAGAAUAUGCACGUAUAGAUUCUCGCUUUCAAGACCAUGCAAAGUGGAAAGAAGUUGAAUCAUUCCUGGUUUGAGAUCCUUGCAUGGCAUAUUGGGCGAAAAUAUAAUGCAUGAUGGUGUAUAUGUGCGUGUGGGAUGAAGGUAGUCUUGUAAAGUCCUAUAGGGCUCAUCGCCCUUCUCACUAUCAGACAUGGGGUUAUAUGGUGUAGUGUUGGAUGCAGAAUCAAAAGGAAGGUUAGAAAGAGAUUCAAACACUGGUAGAGGCCUUGCAAUGAAUCAUCCUCGCUCAUCUCGAUCCCUAUUCAUUACCCACAAAAAUGCAAAUAUGUGAGAAAUAACAAAAUAACUAAGAAAAUAAACUAAACUAAUAAAAAAAAUAAAAGAGGAAUGAAGUCACCUUUUUGCUCGAGGAUCCUUCAAUUACUUGUAUCGUCUCUCCGACAGUGGCGCCAAAAUCUGAUUACGCCCAAAAUAUAACGCGGUUAUUGUAGUAUAGAUUUGGAGUGUCGUAUCCACAUGAAGAUGGAAAAUAAUCCAAAGAAUCAAAAGCUGGGUUUUUGUUGUGAUUUUAUGUGAAUGUAUGUGUCAAUUGAAAUAGAAUUCAAAUAACAAUGUAUAAGUUAAUAAAAUUUAAAUCAAUGUGUGAAGAAGUAAAGCAUCGGAAUUCCCUCAAUUAGAUUGGGUCAAUCAAUGUCAAUUAUGCAUGAAUUUACUCAAUUAAAGGUUUCUUCCUAACACUUUAAUUGAAAGAUUUAACAUUCAAAUCUAUUCAAUUCCAUAAUAAUUCCCAAACCUAGAUUUCUUUCAAAAUAAUUCCACAAUAAUCCAUUGAAAUUAGAUCCAAAAACAAUUAUAUACAUCAAGCAUAUAAUGGUAAAGAAUCACACCAAUAGGAGAUUUAAGAUUGAAAUUCAAUAAGUACUUCAAUUGUUCGAUGGAAAAAAUGUGAUUGAAUCCAUGAAAAUUUAAUACAAAUUAAACCAACCUAAAAACAUGUCCAUUGGAAUAGGAAAUCUAAAUCUAGAAUUGUUUAACAAUGAAAGAACAUAUUUAUGCAAGAAAAGACAUGAAAAUUCUCAAAUCUAACCGAAUUCCUUCGUGGCUUCAGCAAUAGGUUUAGUUUUCCAUGAAUUUCUUGAGCCAAAAACCAAAGAAAAGUGAUAGGAAGUGAAUGGUACUGGUUCUGGGAUUUUUUGGGGCUUAAAAAUGUGUACAAAACACCUUUCCAUUAUAGGUUGAACCGAAUAAGGAAAGUAAAUUUUUGGCCAGAAUUUUCUGUGCGAUUGCUUUGUGUACUUUGGCCAUAACUUUAUCUCCCAAUGUCCAAUUGAGGCGAUUCAAGUUGCAUUGGAAAGUUAACUCAAAGUGAUACAAUUUUACAAAAAUAGGUCUUCCAAAUUCGGAUGUUUAUUAGGCCAAAAGUUUAUCUCAAUCUUCGACUGAAAAUCUAAAAAAUCCUUAUGCGAUUGAAAUUUGAUUUGUGAAAAUAUUAUGGGCAUAUUUAACUUUUUUGACUUCUAAUUGCACCCAAUGGACUCCUAAAUUUCUUGAAUCAUCAUUCCAUCGUCCGUCUCAUCUUUGGAUUAUUUGCAACUUGGUCCCUGAACUUUCAUUUUGGUCAUUUUUCACUCAUUUCUUCCGAGUUUCGCCUUUUUCAUCAAAUUGCGACCUAGAACAAAACAUAAGAGUAAUGAGUGCAUUUUGACAUCAAAUAAUCAUAUUAAUAUAACAAUUAAGAGGGAAAAUAUCAUAUAUUACACUCUUAUCAAUAACCGAAUUAGAGCCGUUGGAUUCUUUAUUUAAGACGAAGACCAUUCUUAAACCCAAACUAAAGCAGCUAAUUUGGCUGGAUUCUUGUACAAUUAGUAAAAUUCAAAAUAAAAUUUCCCGUCCUUUAUUCAUUAAAAGUACCACAUAAUUGCAUCUACGUUCAUUCCUGUCCUUCCUUUCCUUUCUCUACUACUUUGUUAAUAUCUUCAAUCCUCAAAUUUAAGUUUAUCUUUUCCUUUUCCUAAGUUUAAAUGGUUGUAUCAACUGAACGAGAAAUGUUCCAAAUAAAUUCUUCAUGGGUUAUUUUGCAUCAGAUGUUAUCGACUUCAAAUUCAUCGAAAAAACUCUGUAAUAUAUUUCCCUAUUUCAGCCAGAACGUUUAUUUCUCCUUGAUGGAUCACUUGAAGACCAUGUCCAGAUUUUUGGAAGCAGACGUUUUUAAAGCCCUUAGCCAUGUUUGGUUGAGUAGAGUGGACCAAAAAAGUUCAAAAUCUUAUCCAUCGAGUCAUUUGCUCAAAAUCUUAUCCAUCGAGUCAUUUGCUCCAAUCCAUUAGAGUGUACCAAACAUGCCUUCAAAUUUAUGGCAGAAAACAAAGGAUAUGAUCAAUAAAUGUGCAACAAAAACACCCAGAAUGUGGAGCAUCACCAGAAUGCAGCUUCUAAUCAUCCUCUUCCUGCCAAUAUGUUUCAAGUAUCUUCACGGCCUCUUCGCAUAUUUCACUGUCGUCAUGAGUCUGGAGGUUCUUAAUAAACUGUAAACCCCCAGCAUCAUCAAUCAUCUGAGCAAAGACAUUCACAUCUUCGGGAUGACCUUGGUUCUUCUCAGCUUCUCCAACCUUCAGAAUGUUCUCAAGGCCUUCCAAGCAGAUUUUUAUGACAUGCUGUUCGUUGGGAUUAACUAGAAGAUCGCACAUUGGCUCUAUACAACCCUCGUUCACCAGGAACCUACCACAAAGAUGAAGCAUUAAUAAUCAACCUAAAUGUACAAUAAGCUAUGAGAAUAUGACAAUAGCUAUGAAGAAUUUACUUGAUUUGCUCAUUAGUUCCCUUAGUCGUGGCAUUAUAGAUGACCUCAGCAGCAGCAUUAAAAAUUUCGGCCUCUUGAAGCAGUGGAAGAAGAGGUGAAAUAAUACCAGCCUCAAUCACAGCCUGUGUAUUUGUUAGAUAAAUUGGUGCAUUAUAUUCCAUUCACUGUAAUACAUGCAUGAUUUUAUUUGCUAUUGACAUGUAAAUUAUUGAAUAAUAUUUUGACUUACCAAAAUCUAGAUAGGUGCAUGAAAAAUAAUAAAAAUUACGAUUUACUAACAUUUAGGAAAAUGCAGAAAUUAGAAGAAGAUAAGAUGAAACGUUAUCUGUGAAUGCAAAUUUCCUUAAGAUGAAUUUCACCCCGACACUACUGCUAAUAUGAUCAAAUGAACGCCAGUCUCCCAAGAUACAAUGCUCCUUUCAUAAUUAAUAUAGUAUAAUAUUAAUUUUAUUUGACUUACCAACACUUGAUCACACUCUUCUAAAACAGAAGAUGUUGAAUACUAAAUAUCAAUCAGAAAACUCAAAAAGUAAUUAGAAAAUUAUUUUGAUAUAAUUUGGAGAAGAAAAGAAUUAGAAAUUAAUUAUUUGGAAUAGAUUUGGAUUGAAGAAAAUGAAAUUAGGAGGAUCGAAUUUUUAGAUUUCAUGUAUUUUUUCGAAUGAUCGCAUUUUUUUGGCACAAAUUAUUUUAAUCUCACCAUUUCAAGAUUAAUGUUCUAGGUCGUGCCUUUAUCAAAUGUCAUUACUCUUUGUUAUGCAUAUUUGGCACUUGAAGAGUCGAACCCAAUUGAUGUACCUAUAGUUGAAUUUUUUUUUUCAAUUCACACAUUUUAAUCUUUUUAUAUGCCCUUAAAUCUCAAAAUCUCCCAUGUGAAUGGAAGAAGUCAACUCAGAACAAGAAAGACGAAGAAGAGUACCACUGAAAUAUAAUGCAUUAGGAUCGAACUCACUUGACUAACAAGCAAAUGCAGUGUUUUGACCAUUAUUGUAAGUCUAAACAAUAGAUCGAAAACAUUAUAUCUCAUAUCAAACUUUGAUUUUCUAUUGUGUACAUUAUUUUGGCCUUGAACCUUCUUGAUUCUGCUAGUGCGUUAGAGAAUUUUCACAAGUAAAACUCUCAUAGAAUUGGCCAAAUUCACAAUAUCAUAGAAAUGGGAAGGAAUUAAAACUUCGAAGUGCUUUUCAUUGAGUCAAUCUUAGCAAAUUUUCCUAUUGAACCUAGUUCGUGGGAUCUCCCGUUGCCAAGUUAGGUUUCCACUAAACCGACCCAUUAAUGUAGGCGUUAUACCCAUUUUCCUCAAUGCACAAUUUAUUCACUCUCUAGAUAACAUCUUUAUAAACAGAUUCGGUAGUUUAUUUUUCGAUAAAACAAUCAGUAUUAUUCCAUUCGAGAGUAAGUACCAAAUGAUAUUAUGCCUACAACUUAUACAUCAAAACUUACCAUUAUAAUACACGACAUUCUAUGCCAACAUAUUGUGGCUAGCUAUCUCAAACAAAUGAUAUAGCAAGCACAAAUUGUCACCAAUUAGAAAACCCUUCUAAAUUCUUUGAAGUCAUCAUGCUUCCUUCUAAUUUUAUUGAAAGCUCUAUUUUCUUUCAAUUCUCACAUUGUAUUGAGGAUUUUUCACGAAACAACUCCACUCUCAAUAAUGAAACAUAUUUUCUAGUAGAUUUUGAAUUCUUGCAUUGGAUAUCCAGCACAUCUUAAUUUUAACAAGGUAUUCACUACGGUGUAGUUUAUCAUUUUAAAUAUUCCAAAUUCUAAUUUGAAGGAGCAAUGCUACCCCCAAGUCUUGGGGUGCGACCUCACUUUAAUUGAUAAUAUUAUACAAAAUAACAAUCAUACCCCUACAAUUUUGAAUAAGACUCAACUUAGCAAUAUAAUAUUUGUCUAAGUAUGCAUAUAAAGUUUGAUCACAUCGAUAAUUAUGUUUAUCUAUCUAAUAAACAAUUUUAUUCUAAAUGUAGUCAGCAUAUAAAAUGACUAGGAAUGUCAAUGUCAUAUAAAAGCUCACGUGCAUUUUCAUAUUAAAGAAUGUCAAUUAACAAAAUAAAAGUGAAAAUUCAUCUUUUAAAAAAAAAAAAAAAAAAUUGCAGCCUCGCCCAAGUUUAAUUGGGCAUACAGAGAUAUGACCCAAAUUGAGAUCAUAAGUUGCACCACGUUGGACGAGACAAAAAAUGUGCAAAAUGUUGUUCAGAUUAUAAUAUUGCAGUUAGAAUAAAUUAUUGACUGCAGAAACAAUAGAACAAAUUAUAUAAAAAUGUGUGAAAUAAUGAGUGAAUGAUUUGCAAACCGACGCUUGUAUAUACAUAGUUUCCUUAAAACAGAUUCGAUCCCUGACUGUAUGUACUUGAUGUUUCACCCGAGCAUAUGUUUUCCAAGAUACAUCAGAAAAUCAGUAGAAUCUGAGCACUGCAAAUGCUACUCCAGCGAAUAGUACUUGUGAUCGAACAAUAUAACCAAAAAAGGAGGAAAAUACCAAUUUCAGCAAAUUCGAUAUGCAACAUGCAAGUACGAUAUGAACACAGUGGAAAUCCGGUAUGCAGUGUGCAAAUCCGAUAUGGAAACAAUGCAAAUUCGGUAUGCUAUGUGCAAAAUUGGUAUGCAAGUCACAAAAGUGGUAUGCAUGGCAUAAAAAGUCUAUUUCUCCUAUUGUGGAAAAAAGGUUCAAAUAUAUAGAUUUAACCCCCAUAACGGGCGAGUUAAAUUUUUCCAUCAGUUAUGCUUUGCCAUUAACCUAAAUUUUAAUGAUAAAUAAUUCUGGAGUUUUAACAGUUAUGAAUUUAAAAGGUCAGCUUAAGAAAGCAAAAAAUUAGCAAAAUGUGGACAAUCCAAAGGGACCAAUUUUGCUCUAUUCGGUCCGACAUUUGUGUACGCAGGUCCCACAGCACACAAGUUCAAGGCUCGAUGUACAAUUUUGAUUCUUGAUUUGCACCAGCUGCAUGCGUACGUGGAGAGAACAUCUAUGCUACACAUGAUUACACAUUUUCAAAGUGUAAUCCUAUAUAAAGUGGUUUUUGCGUUCAUCAACUUCCUAUGUGGGACAAACCUUAAUUGGUUUCCUCCAACACAUGAACUCCUUUUUAAUUGGCAUAUUUUGAGCUCCAAUUUCUCAUUCACCCAUUCAUAAAUUUUUUCAAGUGAAUAUAUGAUUUUGAUGCUUUCAUGGAGGAGAACUCGGAUCAACUUUGAUCUUCCAAAUUGGACCAACGGGUCCCACUCAAUUUUUAUGCCAAAAUCAGCCAUUAACUUAUUUUUUUCCAACACAAAACACACCAUACUAUUGAGAAACACUAUCCCACAACUUUAGGUUACAUUUGAAAUUAAUCAUAUAGUGUGCACAAAAAUUAUGCUACAUAAGCCAAAUCACCAACAUUCACUUUCUCUAAACCCAUCAGCCUAGUGACAUUUCACCAGUUGAGUUCCUCGUGGAUACUGCCAUUUGAUUUAUCUUUGUGGUUGAUAAAUGAAAUUCAAGAAAUUGCACUUCUUAAAAGAAGAGACAUGAUGGUUAGCCACCAAAUUUCAACGAGAGCAGUUAGAAUACAAAUAACAGGCAAUGCUUUAUUCCUCCCAACAACCCCUUGCCACUUCUCAAAUUCUGUAAUUAGAGAAGCGUAAAUAAAUUUCACUACUAAUGCAUGCAUAUUUUUAACUAGAACGAGUAGAAAAUCAGAAUCCAAAUGCUUCACUAUCUUUUCAGUUUACCAAGAAAUCGAAGAAAAAUUAAAGAGAGUUCUUUCACAUACAUUUCAAUAUACAGAACAUAUCUACAAUAUCAAUUCCAGAAUUAAGAAUAUGUUCUUGUCAUGCAAUAAAACGUUUAAGUAAACUAGUAUUAUGUAUGUAUAAUGCACAAUAAAGUAAUCGAGUAAUAUGAAAGAAUAAUGCACGAAUAACAAAGUCAAAAGCAAACACAAACUAAAGCAGCGCAUCCACGUAAACUGAUUUUGACAUCAGUAUUAUAAUUAGCAUGAAAAUCCAUCUUAAGCUUGUUCGAUAAAUUGGUGCAUAAUUAUAUUCACAUACAUGAUUUAAGUUGCUAUUGACAUCCAAAUUAUCGAAUAAUAUUUUUGACUUACCGAAAUCAAAAUAUGUGCAUGAAAAUUAAGUAAAACAACGACUUACUGACAUUUAGGAAAAUGCAAAAAUUAGAAGGAGAUGAAAUGAAGCGAGACAUGCAAAUGCAAAUCUCCUUAAGAUGGAUUUCACCCCCUACACUACACUGGUGCUAAUAUUUUGAUUAUAGAGAUCAAUCUUUGAAGAUCCAAACAUCCUUUCAUUGAUUCCUUGAUUCAACCACAAGUUGGGAAAAGCAUCAAAAUUACGUAAUCCAAAGCACUCACUUCCUACACACAUACACGAAGAUACUUUCUCAAUAACUUUCAAAGGUUGUUAAAGAUUGAGAGAGAUUGGACCAGAAGUACAGGAAGGGUACAAGAACAAGGUGUUCUUGGUGAUCUAGAGGAGAUAGACACUUCCAGAAAAUCGAGAACAAGUGUGAGUGAAACAUGUUCCAGCUAGUUUUGGAGAUUGCAGGAAUUAGAUCAGCAAGUUUAGUGGGAUUUCUAGGCUGGAUAAUAUUGUAAGUUUAUAUUGUCUAUAGUGGAGGUUACUAGUUUGGUCUCGGAGUUUUUACUUAAUUGGGUUUUCUCCGUCAACACAUCUUGAUUUAUUUACUACUUUAUUUGUAAUUGUGGUAAUGCAACAUAGGAUUAACUUGACUUGUUUAACUAAAUAUCUAAAAACAAUUAAAAAGUGACUUGUUGCUUUUAAUUGUAUAACUUUGCACGUUGGGUCUAAAUAAAUCGGCUAAAUUAGAACUUUUAGUUUGUCUCCUCAGAUACAAUGUUUCUUUUAAAUUUAAUAUAGUACAAUAUUAAUUUGUCAGACGAACCAACACUUAAAUAUACUCUUCUAGGACGGAUUAUAUAGAAUAUUAAAUAUUGAACACGAAGCUCAAAAAAUAAUUAGAAAAUUAUUUUGACAUAAUUUGGAUAAAGAGAGAUAUAGAAAUCAAUUAUUUGGAAUUGAUUUGAAUUGAAGAAAAUGGAAUUAGGAGGGUCCAAUUUAUAGAUUUCCAUAUAUCUCUUCCAAUGGUCAUAUCUUUAGGCUAGAAUUAAUUUUAACUCUUAGAUAUCACAAUUUCAAGAUUGAUGGUCUACAUCGCACUUUUAUCAAAGGUCAUGACUCUUUGUUAUGCACUUGAAGAGUCGCACCCAAUUGAUGCAUUUAUUGAAGACUUUUUCCAAUUUACCCAUUUUAAUCUUUUUAUAUACCUUCAAAGUAUUAAGAUGGCAUCUCCUCGGCUUCCUUGACUUUAUAAGAUAAACGGAAUUUAAUGGAAGACUUCAAAUUAGAAACAAAAACAGAAAAAAAAAAUGUCAAAUUCUUCAAAACAGAGUUACUAAUACGAGAAAUUGGUGGAAACUAAAAACUUUGCUGUAACAUCAUUCCUGCCCCCUUCGCCAAUUGAUACUUAUUUAUCUCAAAGCAUUAAUUAUGAAUGCAUAGAGUAAUACUUAUUCCAUAGUAAUUUGCAUACCUGAAUAUGAUCCUUAUUCCGUCCAAUGAUUUUUGAAAUGAUAUAACAAGUGUCCGUCUUGUAACUGUCUGGGUAAUUUAGUGUCAACACCUUACACAGGCGAGGAAGAACCCCAUUAUCAAUGAUAAGCUGGAAAUCAUUCAACAGAAGCAAGUUUGUAAAAAAAGGUAAACAUUGGUUGACAUCCUUAAUUACAGGGUUAGCAUUAAACUUCUUAUUAGAGUUCUUAAAAAUCGGUCAAAGAUUAUAAGGAUUAAUUUCUCAGGAUGAUACUUGAAGCCACCCCCUUGGCAUUUGCAAAUUCAACUAAUGAGUUUCAGAUAGUAACUUUUGAAUUUUGUACAAUUUUUGGAUUCCUAGAGAUGGUAUGCGCUUCAAACGUUUUAUAAGCAUUGUACCAAAACUGAACAUAUAUGGAUCAUGAAUAUGACAAAAGCAAUGAGGACUGAAGCUGUUCUUCUAAUGAUUAUUUAGCAAUAGAAGCAACAAGACUGUAUUUGCAAAAUGAAUAUAUCUGAACCAUGAAUGAUCAAGCAAUGCAUUUUUGGCUUCAUUGACAAGGACACCCCUCUCCACCUAAGGUAAAUAUAAUAUACAAUGACUGUUAAGUAUGUAGACCAUCGGAACUGCUAAAAGACAAAAAAAUGGCCUGCCAUAUACAUCUUUUGUAUGAAACAAGCAAACAAGAGUUGGUUGUGUAUGGUAGACAUUUGAUGGACUACCAUUGGAAAGGUGAACAUAUCACAUAACAAAUAUUUAAUGUGGUCAAAGGAAGUUUUCUAAUUAAGGUUAUGUACAAGAGUCAGCUGAUACCUGAGUCUGGGUAUCAUCUGCAUAUAAAAUAAUAUAAUCAACGAUAUGCAGGACAGAAGACCAAAUUUCUGAUUUACAAUGCCUGCGAACCACUAAACCAAAUAAGUAUGGGUAUGAAGUUCAAUAAAUAAAAGCAAAGUAAAAACUUAAAAAAUGGAACUAUAUCAAGUAGGAUUUUUUCACUGACAGUAAAAGCUCAACCAAACGAGGGAAAAGACCAGCAUCGAUUACAGCUUGUUUUAUAUCCGUUUUCCCAAAAGUUAGACAGAAUAGUGCCUCGCAUGCAUGCCAAAGGACUGCUCCAUCGUUUUCAAGAAUCAGAUGAGCAAGAGGACGGAUGGCAGAUUUCACCUGCUCAGUAAUAUCCUGAAGGAAUUGAUUAAAUAUAUAAAGGUCCAGCAUUAUUGAUAUGCAUCAAAACCGAACAGAAAACCAAUAAGAAGACAAACCUGCUCGAACGGAGGCUUUCUAAUUAAAAGAAUUGACAAUGUCCUCGUUGCCACAGCCAUGAUGUAUUGUUUUGUUUUAUCAUUAAAUUGUGCCAAUAAGGGCGUUAACACUCCAGAACUAAGGACGAGGUGACGAUAUUUUGCUGAUUCAGAGGCAAUCUUUCCCAACACCUCAAUUGCCUAAAUUAAAUAGUCAGGCAAUUCAAAGUUCGUAUUAGUCUUUAUCAAUUUGUAUAAAGUUGGACUAACAUAUCCCUAACAUAGGGAUGCUAUUAUGUCAUUUACUGUUAAAAGGUAUUGCCCCUACACGACUGAAGAAAACGUAGAAGCAGAGCCAUGGAACAUUGUCAUUUUUGCACUAGUUAAAAGACAGUUUUUCAUCCCAAAUCUGCAACUUGACACAUGGGUGUUGGCCGUCACUGUUUCAGCUCUAGUUUUUUUUUUAAUAGGUAAUCAGAGCUGUUUCAGCUCUAGUUGGGAAGGUUAGGUUUUAAUCAAUUUAUAUAAAUAUGCAUUCCUCUAGUUUUCUCAACUUUAGAUUUAGAGUGCUUUUUCCUUUUUGUUUUAGGUAUUUUUCUUGAGCUAAUACGUAAUAGCAUCAAUCCAUAGAGAGAUUUAGAGAUGAGAGGUGGAGUUUUCCACAGGGCGUAUCUCCUCUGUGUCAUCAACUUGUAAACCGUAGCGAUAGUACUCCUAGUGCAGAUGGAGUUCAUCUUCCAGCGUUAUGUCAACACGUUGAAUAAUGCUAUGUGUUGAAUGGUGUUUAUCAACGGUCUACAUGACCCAUUUAAUUGAACUUAUAAUUUAAUGUUACCUAUAGAUUCAUUGAUGAUCGUAAAUGGUGAUACAUAGCAUAUUGGUCUUUAUUCUUUCUUGGUGUUGGUGUGUGUUUUAUAUGAUUCUUGAUUUGAUUGUAAUCCUUAAAAUAUUUGCAACGUGAUAAGGUGUUUAUAUGCACUUAUUCGUGAUAUUUAAACUUGAUAAAUAAUUUAUAUUUGAGUGAAUUCUUACAUAAUUUACUUUAGAUAUGAUAAUUGUAGGUAAAAACCAAUUAGAAAGCAUUCAUACAAAAAGGAAGGUUAAAUUAGGUGUUUAUAUGCACUUAUCCGUGAUAUUUAAACUUGAUAAAUAAUUUAUAUUUGAGUGAAUUCUUACAUAAUUUACUUUAGAUAUGAUAAUUGUCGGUAAAAACCAAUUAGAAAGCAUUCAUACAAAAAGGAAGGUUUUUAGCUAAUUUAUAGUUGAUUUGGAGCAACUGAAGAUAACCAGAUUGCACGAGGAUCAAUAAUGAGUAUUAAGAGAGAAACAGGAGGAAUGUCGCAGGUUUCUAAAGUGAAAUUCAACUUAGAUGAAUUUAGGAGACUAAUUUGCACACUUUUGGAACUUAAGAAAGACUACUUAUGGAAGAUAGUUGAGGUUUGGGAAACAAUCUGGAAGCUUUUGAAAAGUGUGAGAUCAAAUAUUGAUGAAUUGGAGCAAAGAGGAUCAAUAUCGAACAAAAAUGUUGAAAUAGAGACCAAAGUGCAACAUACGAAAGUUAAGGGACUAAUUUGGACAUGUUAAAUAGUAAAAGGACCAAAGUUGAUGAGAUAAAAAGCUGGAGGAUCAAAAUGAAUAAAGCUAAAAGUUCAAAAACUUGGUUUACAAUUUAAUGUUGAAAAGUGAAAAAUAAUAAUAAAAGCUUAAAAGAAAAAAUAGAAAGAAAGAAAUGGUUACAUUGUUGUUAGAACCAGUUAGAUUGGACAAAGUUUUUGUUGUUUCUACUUUUCUUGAUCCGUUUUGAGUCAUUUAGAGGCACAAUUCUAGAAGCAUUUUUACCACUAGAUAAGAACCUCAUUUUUUCUCAAAAUGAAGGGGAAACAAAGUUCCAAAAGCCAAAAAUUAGAGAAAAAGGAGAAAAAUUAAAGGCAAAAAAAUAGGUUUUUCAAGAUUUGACGUUGAAGAAGACGAUUCUUGGUGACAGGUCUUCAAAAUUUUCUCAUUUUUUCUUUUAACUCGAUCAUGUAUUAUAUUUCUUUCUUGUAUGUCUCUUCUUCCAUGACGUGUAACUAAAUUAAUACUUACAAUAAAUGUUGUAACCUAAUUUGAAUCUUAAUUUUAGUUAUCGCGUGUUGAUUUUUAAUUGAUACUUGUGUAUUGUUCUUAUUUCCUUUUUUAUGACUUUGAAUCAUGUUGAUCACGGACUCAAUGAUUUGUGAAAAGCAAAGAAUCGAAAGACGGGUUAUUUUUUUUUAUCAUGUAGUAAAAUUCAAAAUUUAGUAGGAAAGACACUUUUACUAACUAUGUAUUAUUAAUUAAAUUUUUUUUGUGAUUGAUUGCUUUUGAUUAAAGCAUAUCAAGAAUCACGUAGGGACAUGUGUACUUAAUUCAGUAGAAUUGAUUUGAACUAUAAAGGAGUAAAUCAAUUAAUUUUAGAAGAAUUUGAUAUGUAAGCAUAAUUAACUAUUGUCGGGAUUUGGUAAUUAAUAUUAAAGAGAUAAUAAUGGUGAACUCAUGAAUCCUUCACACAUCAAGUAUAACUGUGAAUAGUCUAUUUGUGACAUUCUUCAUUAUUUUAAUCAAGAGGUCAUUGAGAGAAAAUUCUUAAGGCCACUUUACUACCUAUUUUAUUGGCAUCUUACAUUUGCGAUAAAAUCACAAAAUAACACUUACCCUUUCGCGAAGUUCAUCCUUGGGAGAACUAAGAAAGUUCACCAUAAUGGGAAUUGUGCCCUGUUCAAUCAGAAUGUUGAUGUUGUCAACUGGACCAAUUGAAAUUUUUUCCAUAGUCUCCGCUGCCUCAAGCUAAGAAAAUGAAUGACUCAAUUUAUUUAGCAGUUGAAACACAUGAAAUAAACAAGAGAAGCAAUUAAAAGCACAAAUUUAAACCUGAAGCUGCGGGUGAUCAUCUCUAUCAAGGAACUCGAGGAGUCGAGGAACAAAUCGAGAUAUUAAUCCCUUCGAUGGUGGUUUUAUCUCUGUGGAAACAAAUUAAUUGAAAGCAAAUGGAAUCAGAGAUAUAAGAGAAAAUAGCUUAAACAGUAAUAAGAUUUAUUCAAAUUAAUUGGCUUCAAGAAAAAUAAAUUAAUUGAUUACCAAUAAUAAGCCAUCUUAGCUGAGAACAGGCGCUGAUUUGCAGUUCGUCGUCAUUUGACUCAAGUUUAGCUAUUAAUUCGGCCUCCAAUUCCUUGUUCUGUUGCAAUUAGAAGAAAUUAAUAAUGAAGUUUACAUAACAGUUUCUAUAUACUAGUUCUACUCAAUUAAAUUUGUCCCACAUAAUUACUUGCAAGAACUAUUUCAUUAUGCAAAAAAGACGCAUUUUUCUUUCAAAAUUGGUUUCCAAGAGAGGAUUUGUGUCUUGUUUUUAUACUUCUGUAACUAAAAUGUGGUGAAAUUAUCAUAUAUAAGCUGCAGUGCAAGUCAUGCUUGCUGAAGCCAGCAGUUGAUGAUUUAUGAGGUCACAGCGGAGGCAUCAACUUUAUGUCCAAGGGUGAUGGAGCAUGCUAGGGAACCUUUUGGAUAUAUUUAUGGAGAAUGUGAAAAAGAUACGGACUUCUCGAAUUUUGGUAUGAUAAUAAAUUUAGAAAAACCCAGAAUGAAAGUGACAAUGAGCAGUACAAACACUAUCCCUCAUGUAAAAUGAUCAGAAGUAUGAAAAGAGUACAUGAAGUAUAGUCUUUAGCUUAAGACGAGUUUAUUUAUUUUUUUCUUUUUCCCUUUAAUUGAGGUCCGGCCAAGGGCCCUUAAUUUUGUGUUUUUUUUCCUUUAUUAGUAAGACAAUUCUAGAGUGGUUUUGAAAAAAACAGAGAGAAAAGAUGCUCAUGCUUGCUAAAAUUUUGUUAUGAAGAUCUAUAAAUAUUCUUGAGAUAGAGAAAUGAUCAGAUACGAGCAACAAUAAGUAUGGCUCAAGGAAUCGCUUUUACCUCUGGAAGGUUGAACUGCCUCUUGACACGGACUUGAAUAUCAUUUCCGAAAUUCUCUUGUUCUUCUUGUAUCAGCUCUGCCGAAAUCACAGCUGAAGGGCUAGCAUCAUCCAAGUCAAUGAUUUGAAGAGUUUGUAUAUCUUUAAAGCUAGGAGGGAUCUCCAUUAGUUUGGAACAUCCCCUAAGCUUUAGGCACUCGAGGCAUGUGAAGUUGGUGUUAUUGGCUCUCCAAUGCUCUAGAAACUUAGUUUCAAGUAACAGAAAUUUUAGCUUGCAAAAUUCUCCUUCGGGUAGCUCCCAUUCUGGACUCCAAGUGACACUAUCUAGCAGUUUGAGCACUUCCAGGUUGGGCAUUGAACCAACAAUAGUCAUGUGUUUCCAAGCAAUUUUGCAACUUUCUAAAGUUAACUUUUUGAUAUUUGCUGGGAAAGUGAAAUUUAUUGGUGCUCUAAAACGUUCUAAACCUCUAAUGUUCAGGUUUUCAAGUUGAGGAAGAUUAACCAGAAUACCUAAAGGAUUCUCAUCGAAAUAGCCACUAUAAAGUCCUAACUUUUUUAGAUUUGGAACUCUUUCAAAGACCUCCUUGGUACAGCUAGGACUACUCACUUUCGAAAGUGUUAAAAGGUUUCCUAGAACAAAAUUCUCCCCAGCUAUUGGUGAUCUAGUAGGGCAUGGCAAAUAACACUUCCUGAACAGGAGAUGCCUUAAUUGUGUCAUCCUCCAUAUUUCCUCUGGUAGAUGUACAUCGUCACUAUCUACAAUUAAGGUCUGUAGAUACCCAAGAAAAUCAGGUAAUGUUUUAGGCAUGGAAACUUUCCCAUGACAGGGGAAAGCAAGGUACCUUGAGUGAACUAAUUUUAUUUCUCCAAAUGGGAAACCCUGUACUUGUUGUUUAAGAUCCAACACCCUAAGAAGUGGAAAAAGUUUUCCAUUAACUAAUUCAGUGAUCUGGCUUUUGUCUAGGUCUACAGGGAAUAUGAGGUCGCCUUCAGAAAAUGAAAUUAAAAUAGAACGGACUGAUGGCAAGGAUCCCAUGGACUGGUAAUAUUUGAAUUCCCCGUGAAGAAUAUCUGGACGAACACACAGGCGACGAGAAUACUUUAUGCUUUCAGCAAAAAUGUUGUCUUUAUCUCUGACAUGAAAAAGCUUCUCAUCCUGGGCCUUCUUUAAGCAUAGGUCCCUUAACAUAUCAUGGAUGCCACAGGUUUUUAUCUUUCCCCUAGAACUCUUCUUACUAAUCAUAAUAAGAUUUCUGGAAAUUAGAUCUCCCAAAUAUUCCACUGCCACUUCUUCCAAGGUUUUACCUGUGACUGGUUUUAGAAAUCCCUCUGCAACCCAUAACUUGAUGAGUUUGGAGACACGGAUUUCAUCAUCUUCCGGAAAAACUCCCAUAUAGAGAAAGCAUGCUUUGAGAUAAUGAGGCAAGUAAUUGUAACUUAAAGAUAGUAUUUCUGUGCAGUUUGCAUCUGUUGAAUUGACAACUGACUUGACAUUUUGUGCAACAUACUCCCAGUGAUCUUUUGUCCUGUUGGCGUUUGAAAGGUGGCCACCAAUCACGACAAGGGAAAGUGGAAGUCCUUUGCAAUUUUCUGCAAUCUCCUUUCCAGCUUCCUCCAGUUCUGGAGGGCAACAAUCUUCCCCAAACACCCUCUGACGAAGUAGUUUCCAACUGUCAGUCUUAUUUAGAAAUUGCAUAUGAUGGGCAGGUCUAUGGGAGUCAACCACACUCAAGAGCCGUGUUGUCAACACGAUCCCGCUUCCAUUCCGGUCGUCUGGAAAUAUCCUUCUCAAGGAACUCCAAGCCUCGGUAGUCCAAAUAUCAUCCAACACAACAAGAUACAUCAUACCUCUUAAACUUUUAUGUAGGUAAUCUUUUAAUUUUGCAGUAUUGUUCUCUUGACGCAUUUCGGCACUGAGCUGUUUCAUGGAAUCCAGAAGGUUCAGCAAGACUUCUCGCUCACGAUAUUCUUGAGAAAUUGAUACCCAGGCACAAAUGUGAAAAUGGUCUUUAAUACGUGGAUCAUUGUAAACAUUUCUAGCAAGUGUGGUCUUGCCAAUACCUCCCAUGCCAGUUACGGGGAUGACUUGGAGAGUACCUUGAUGUCCAGUGAGUCGAUCAAUUAUUUGAUUCAAAUCAUUAUGAAACCCGACCAUAUCAUUCUUGCCAAUUGAAGGAAGUCUUGAUUGUCCAGUUGGCAAAGAAGUACUCCUCUGGCUCUGGUGCACAACUGUUGCGCCCCACGAUUCCUUAAGCUUAGCUGCCUUUGUCUCAAUGGAAUCAAUUUCAUCUGCUACUAUCUCAAAGUCCACACAAAAAUUUUGGUCUCUCAUUUGUCUUUCUUGAAAACCUUCCUGGCCAAAAUUCUUGGAUAUAUGUGAUUCGACCAUAUCUUCAGCUUUGUUCACUGCAUCUCGAAUUUCCCUUUCCAAACAUCGUACUUCCUCGCUCCUUAUCUGCCAAGAAUCAUCCAGAAAAUCAAGUAAGAAACUCAACUUCUCCUGGAGAGAUUUAAUUUGUUGGUCCUGAAGAGGAGUUUGAUGUUGUUCUAGAGGAGGAUUUGAUAUUUGCUCCAGAUUUUGAUUGAGAGAUAAUACAGCAUUGUAUGCCAUCUUUGACUUCAAAGAAUCUGAUUGAAAGAUAAUAUCCCAAAAUUGCAGCCUGCCUUAACAAGUGGUGGUUUUGGGAGGUGGAGGAAUUGAGUGGAGUGAAGGGGUGAAGAAGACAACAAUUACAGAGAGAAAAAGGAAUGGAUGUUCGUGUGAGUUUACGCGCAUCUUUUUUUUUUUUUUUUUUUUUUUUUUUUUUUUUUUUUUUUUCCUUUUUUUUUUUUUUUUUUUUGUUUUUUUUUGUCUUUUUUUCUACCUUUUUUUUUUUUUCUUUUUUCUUAUUUUAAUCUUUUUUUUUUUUAAUGGGAAAUUGGUGUGUUUUGUUCCCAACUUUUUAAGAAUUUUAUCUUUAUUUUGUUAAAUUUCCAAGAAAAUACAUUAACGUGUAUCCAAAGCAUCUUGAAGUUGCGUGGUUCUUGAUUCAACUGAAAAUUAAACAACAAAUUAUCAUAGGGGAAAAUUGCAACUUAAGUCGAGAUCCUAUACACUUGAUAGCAAACAGGUCCUCAUUCUAUUUCUUUUGGCAUUCAUAUCCUUAACACGCCGUUCUGAUGCACCGCAGUUCUUGAUUGAAGAAAUCCAUUAAUUAAUUAACAAUUAAUUUUCGUAAUACCUCCUAUCCUUUGGUAUCCCUGUGAAAUUGGUAUCUAUUGCUACAAUCCUCAUAUUCUUAAAGGCAUUUCAACAUUUGAUUGCAAAAAUCACUAUUUUCAUUCGCGUUUAUUUGACAAUUAGAAGGUUAAUAUUUUGAUACAAAAAAAAAAACUGCAAUACUUCUAAUUUUACUUUAAAACUAAGAAAGGAAAAUAAUUAUUAUUUGUUUUUGUUUUGGUACUAGUUUUUUUAUAUUUAAAAUUAACGAUCAAAAUAUUGACUAUUUAAACUAUAGUAGACGGAAAAGUGAUCUCACUAGUGGCAAAAGGUUGAAAUAUUGUUAAGAAUGUCAAGAUUGAUAUGAUAAGUAGCAAUCCAACAAGUACCCAAAUGAUAGGGGGUAAUGUGCAAAAUAGCUUUUAUUAACAUAUUCAAAAGUAAACCUUUUUUUUUUUUUUUUUUUAACAAAAAAAAAANNNNNNNNNNNNNNNNNNNNNNNNNNNNNNNNNNNNNNNNNNNNNNNNNNNNNNNNNNNNNNNNNNNNNNNNNNNNNNNNNNNNNNNNNNNNNNNNNNNNNNNNNNNNNNNNNNNNNNNNNNNNNNNNNNNNNNNNNNNNNNNNNNNNNNNNNNNNNNNNNNNNNNNNNNNNNNNNNNNNNNNNNNNNNNNNNNNNNNNNNNNNNNNNAUAAAUGUUGUUACGAGUUUUAACUUUAAUUUUUAAGAAAGUUAUUUUUAUUAAUAUUUUUAUUUAAUUCACAUCAAGACACACUUCAAGAUAAUAAUUCAAAAAAAGAUUGGAAAAUGGGAAAUAAUCACUUUUUUUUGACAAAGACUCAUUCAUUUCAACUCAAGACAUCAACUUGAGAAAGAAAAUACUUUCAAGAACAAUAUAAAAUACAAGAUGUAUCAAUUCAAUAAAUUGUCCAAAGAGAGAAAGAGAAACUAUAUACUCUUGUAGAAUUUUUCAAUGUUGAAUUUAUCUGUUCAGUAUUUCAACAGUUGUUUUUGAAGCACGUAAAUUAUUGUAAGUUUUGUUAUGUGAUAAUUAUGCUGUCAUUUGUUAAGCUUUCAAGAACAUACAGCAGCGUGCAUUUGAAAAAACUUGGGAGUUGCCUGGUUCUUAAUUCAAAUGGGAAAAGUUAUUGUGUCAAAUCGAACCAAAUUAUUAUAAGGGGAAAUUGCAGCGUUAUUACAGAUUCUAUUUCUUUUAGCGAUAACAUUCUCAAUGUACCAUUUUUGAUGUGCCAUAGUUCUUCUUUUACAAAAAGAAGAAUUCCCCCAUUCUUUGAGCUUGUUUGGGAGUGAUUUUGAGAAUUGAUUUUUUGACCGUUAAGAGAAAAGUGGGGUCCACCUGUGAGAGAAGAAGUCAAAUAUGACAGUUGAAAUAGUGAAAUAACGGUCAAAAAAUUAAUUUUUUGGGCGAAAAAUCGGGCCCAAACAAGCUCUUUAACAUAAAAAAAUAAAAAAUAAAAAAUAAAAGUAUAGAAAAUAUCAAGGCCACACCCCGCCACCAUUAGUUGUCGUUGAAUUUAGUUAAAGGACUCAAAGGCCGCGGGCAAAAAUUUAGCUUUUGAAUUUCGCUUUUUCUUUAAAUUUUACUAAAGAAUUUAAAAUUGAGGUUUGUGAAAUCUCCAUCAAGUCAUUAGAAUGGAAUUUAAUGAGUUUAUCACCCAUUUUGCUGAAUUAUUCAAUAUUGCAUAUAUAUAAAUUUGUCUUUAACAAAGGAUGGAUGCAGUUUUAGAGAAAUGCUCUUACAAGCUUAACUUUAAUUUUUAAGUAAGUUAUUUUUAUUAGUACUUUAAUUUAAUUCACGACAAGACACCACUUCAAGAUGACUUCUUCUUUUUUUUUGGGACAAAGAAUCGUUGAUUUCAACGCGACAUAAAUUUGAAAAAGAAAGUACUUCAAGAACUAUAUACUCUUGUUUUUCAAGCACGUAUAUUAUUGUAAGCUUUGUUAUGUUAUGUUUGUUAAGUUUUCAAGAAAAUACAUCAACGUGUAUUAUAAAAAAAACUUGGAAGUUGCUUGGUUCUUACUUCAUAUGAGAAAAGGUAUUGUUUCAAAUUGAACAAACAAAUUAUCAUGGGGAAAUUUGCAACGUUAGUCCAAAACUUAUACACUUGGUAGGAAAUAGGUCUCGAUUCUAUUUCUUUUAGAGUUCACAUCCUCAAUACCAUUUCUAAUGUGCCAUAGUUUUUAAUUGACGAAAUCCAUUUAAUAAACACUUGUUACAACAUUGAAGAAUAACGUAUCACUCUAAUAUUACUUGCUAGCAAAUUGAGUACAAGAUUAUAUGGCACAAAAUGAAGUAAAAAUCACAUCACAAGAAGAACACAAAACAUCAAAUGUGGAAAAACUCAACGGGCAGAAAAGGAGAAUUUUAUUAAUAACAAGAGAAAAUACAAUGUGUAGUGUUUUCCAAAUUGUAUUCUAACUCAUACAAGGCUAGGACCUAAAAAAAGAAUAUGUUUUAGAUGGAAAGAAGACCAAAAAUCGCGUCGAAAGUAGGAAAUAAUUUUUUACCGAAUAAAUAGGUUGCUCGAGUUGAAGUCGAGCAAUGAUUUAGUGCCUAGUUUGGUGCUCAAGCCCUAAAUCUAUGUCCAAAAUCAAAUUUUCGACUCUUAACUCCUUUUUCAACCAAAAACACCAAUAUCAAUCAAAUUUGAUCACGUAUUAACAACAGUUAAUUUUCACCCCUACCAUUUGGGGUCCCUAUGAAAUUGGUAACAAAUGUUACAAUCAUGAUAUUCUUAAAAUCAUUACAAUCAUGAUAUUCUUAACAUAUUAACUUUUUCACAAAAGGAAGAAUUGUCCCAUUCUUUAACAUAAAAAAUGUAUAGGAAAUAUAAAGGCCACAUCCCACCACCAUUAGUUGUUGUUGAAUUUAGUUAAAGGGUUCGAAGGCCACCAACCAAAACUUUAGCUUUUGGAUUUUGCUUUUCCCUUACAUUUUACUAAAGAAACUCAAAUUGAUGUUUUUAAAAUCUACAUCCUGUCAUUAGAAUAGAAUUUAAUGAAUUUAUCACCCAUUUUGCCGAAUUAUUCAAUAUUACAUAUAUAUAAAUUCGUCUUUUAACAAUAGAGGGGUGCAGUAUUUGAAAAAUGUUGUGACGAGCUUAAUUUUAAUUUUUAAGAAAGUAAUUUUUAUUAUUUUUUUAUUUAAUUCGUAUCAGACACUACUUCAAUAUAAUAAUUCAGAAAAAAGUUUGGAAAAAGAGAAAUAAUGACUUUUUUGACAAAGACUCGUUGAUUUCAACUCAAGACAUCAAAUUAAGAAAGAAAAUACUUUCAAAAACAAUAUAAAAUACAAGAUGUAUCAAUUUGAUAGAUUGUGCAAAGAGAGUAAGAGAAAUUAUACACUCUUGUAGAAUUUUUCAAUAUUGAAUUUAUUUGUUCAGUGUCUAAUUUAACAAAUUUUUUUUAGCACGUAAAUUAUUGUAAGCUUUUUUGUGUUAUAAUUAUGCUGUAAUUUAUUAGGCUUUCAAGAACAUACAGCAACGUGAAUUAGCCACUUUAUUUUUUUUAUUUUUUAUUUUUAACAAAAAGAAGAAUUACCCCAUUCUUUAACAUAGAAAUUGUAUAGAAAAUAUCAAGGCCACAGUCUACCGCCAUUAGUUGUCUUGAAUUUAGUUAAAGGAUUCAAAGACCACCGGGCAAAAAUUUUGGGGGCGGUUGGUUUGUCGUUUUUGGGCCAUUUUCCGUUUUUCAUUUUCGAAAACGCAAAAAACGCGUUUGUUCCGUCGUUUUCGAAAACGCAUUUUCGAAAAAGUGUUAAAAUUUAUAACUAAAAAUGCAAAACGAAUUUUUAUCAUUUUGAACGUUUUCAGUUAUAAAUGCCCAAAACGCGAAAAACGCCCAAAACGUGGCGUUUUCGAGGAAAACUAAAAAUCGUUUUGAAAUCGAAAAUGAAAAAUGAAAACGCAAACCAACCGCCUUCUUUAGCUUUUGAAUUUUGCAUUUUCUUUAAAUUUUACUAAAGAAUUAAAAAUUGAUUUUUGUAAAAUCUGCAUCCUGUCAUUAGAAUGGAAUUUAAUGAAUUUAUCAACCAUUUUGCUGAAUUAUUCAAUAUUCUAAAUAUAUAAAUUUGUCUUUAACAAAGGAAUGGGGAAGUCUUCAAUUUUUGGGGGAGAAAUCCUUUGAUUGCGUAGGGUGAGUUAUGAGAAGAGAGAAAAAGAGAAAGAAGAAUGAAAGUUAAUAAUUUUUUUGUGUAUUUUAUUAAGAACUAAAGUCCUAUAUUUAUAGGUAAGAAUUAGGGAUACAAUGGUAAUAAUUUUUAGAACUGUAGGGGUAAAAUUGUUAUUCACUACUAAACCCUAAUAAACUUGUCAUUUACAACACUUCCUCUUGAAUGACACUACAAAAUAUCUGUCUCGUUAAAACCUUGUUUGAUAAAAAUUCAAUUGGACAAAAAAAUCAAACUAAGGAAAAGAGUACAGUUAUUUUGGAAUAUUAAAAAUAAAUGUUAUCUCAUUAAAACCUUGCUAGGAAAAGGAUGUGAGAUAACAGCUAAGCGAAGGAAAAAGAGUAUAGCUACUUCCACUGAUGUUGAUUAUUGAAAAUCUUUUGAAUUGACGCAUUCCAAUCUUGUGAACCAAUUUCUUGAAUAUAGAUGUCAGCAGUGCUUUUGUGAAUAAAUCGGCCACAUUGUUACUUGAGCGAAUUUAUUAGAUAUCGAUGUCACGAUUCUUUUGAAACUCAUGUGUAUGAAAGAAUUUUGAAGAAAUAUGUUUUAUCUUAUCACCAUUGAUAUAACCUCCUUUGAGUUAUACAAUACAUGAUGUAUUGUCUUCAUAUAAAUUUGUUGGACUAUCUUUGAUUGAAAUUAACCCUCUUGAUACUUAGAUAUGAUGAGAUGUGUUUCUCAACCAUAUACAUUAUCGGCCUGCUUCAUGGAUUGCAAAAUUUUAGAAUGAUUUGAGGAUGUUGCUGUCAAUAAUUGAUUUACAUAUCUCCAUGAUAUAGCUGUUUCACCACAUGUAAAAGCAUAUUCUGUUUGUGAUUUAAUUUUAUGUGGGUCGGAGAGAUUGAUGAGAACCUGAUCAGCAAGGUUGCAAUCGAACCCACAAAAUUUUGAAUCGAACCUAGGAAAGUUCCAAACAACAAAGGUUUGUGGAAUUUGACUCAAAAUAAUGGAUUAAACAACCCACACAGCCAAUAUGACAUGUAGACUUUUUAAUCACAAAAUUAAUAAAUCAAAAAUCCGAAUAAGUUAAAGAUCAAUUUGAAAAUUAAAUGAAUCAAGAAAUCUAGGCAAUUACAUGAAUACAUUGACCCCGUGAUUACACAAUUUAAGAAUCUCACUUUGAUUGGUAAACACCACGAAAAAUCAUCCCGAUAAGUUCGAUAAAUUUUUCAUGAAAAACAAACAAGAAAACAAACUUGCCUCUCAAUUUCAAUAUGCGAAAAGUCUUCUUCCAAUGAAUAAUAAAACUCCUAUUUAUGCUAAAGAAUAUAAUACCUAAUUUAAAAAGGAAUAAACUCCUAAAAUAUUGUAAAACACAAAAUUAGAGUCCUAAUAAUAUUAAAUUUACCAAAAAUAAGAAAUUGACUCAAAACAAAUCUUUUCGCGCGGAAAGGAAAUUUUCUAGCCGAAAAACCCAUAUGCGAUCGCGACAUGUAUUUGGCUGCGGUCACAUGGCAUAUGGACUACUGCCUGUGAAAUCCCUGCACCUUCUCAUGUGGCCGCACGGUGGUUUUAACCAUGCGGUCGCAUGGUUACUUGGUUUUUGCUCCAAACUCGAUUUUCUUCCAACAUCUUGAUUCAAUUAGUUUUCGGCCUUCAACCUCAAUACAAAUCCUGGACUUUGGCUCGUUGACUCCACCAUAUCGAAAUCCAUAACUCGACCAUGCAUUUAUACUGGUUUGUUAGCCCGAACGAAGCUUGAAUCUUGUCCUUAGCUGCCCUCCAACGUACAUCAAAUCCUUGGUCGUUUGGCGCCCAAGCCAAGUCACAUCAGAGAUAACCUGCAUCUAUAUAUCCCAGUAAAGCAGAUCCCGACAUUUGAGAAUAAAAUAAUCCCAAAUCUAUAGUGCCCUUUAGGUAAUGAAAAAUAUAUUUAAUACCAUUCUAAUGCCUUUGAGUUGGUGUAGAACUAUAUCUUCAUGAAGAUUUACAGAAAAAGUUAUGUCAGGUCGAGUACAAUUUGCAAUAUAAGUUAAUACUCCAAUUGCACUAAGAUAUGCUACUUCAGGACCAAGAAUUUUUCUCCAUCUUCAAGAAGACAAAAUGGAUCUUUUUUCACAUCAAGUGAUCAAACAACAAUAUGUGAUGCCAAUGGAAGUGCAUUAUCCAUAUAAAAGCGCUUUAAGACUAGUUCUGUAUAAGUAGAUGAUGAAUAAAAAAUGCUUUUGGGAAAUGUCCGAGACAAAAAUUGGUUUUUCGCUAAUUUUUCAUUUCAAAUUCAUUUUUCAAAUAAUCAGCAGUUUGUUGAGCUCUUCAAGAGUUCCAAUUAAAUUUAAAUCAACAUAAACGGUCACAUAUACAAAUAUAAUAUUUGUUUUUUUUAUGAAAACACAUGGGGCAGACAUCGUUAUUUGUAUAACUCUCUUUCAACAAAUAUUUUCUAAGACGAUUAUAUUAGACGUGUUCAGAUUUUUUCAUUCCAUAUAAUAAUCUUUACAAUUUAAUUGAUAACAUGGUUUUCGGACAUGUAUCAUUUGUUCCUAACACUUUAAGUCCUUCGGGGACUUUUAUAUAUAUGUCACUAUCAAGUGAAUCAUACAAAUAGGCAGUUCCAACAUCCACAAGACGCAUAUCAAGUCUUUGUGACACGGUCAAACUAAUUCAUAAUCUAAAAGUUAUGAUGUCCAUUACGAGAGAGUAUGUUUCUUCAUAAUCAAUUUUCGAUCUUUGUGAGAAACAUUGAGCUACAAAUCAGGCUUUGUAUAUUGUAACUUAAUUAUUUUCUUUUCUCUUUCGUACAAAAAUCCAUUUAUAUCUUACAGUGAUUACAUUUCAGGUGUUCGAGCUACAAGUCCAAACUUUUUUUUUUCAUUUUUCUAAGGAAUUUAAUUUCACUUGUAUGACUUCUUUCUAUUCUGGCCAAUCAUUUCUAUUUUAACAGUCUUUAACUGAUUGUGGUUCGGGAUCCUCAUUUUACAUAAUAUUAAGAGUCAUGUUAAAUGUGAAAAUAUCAUUUAUAACAAUAUUAUUCCAUUCCCAUAAUUUAUGAGAUAAUAUAUAAUUUACUGAAAUCUCAUUAUUUUCGGACAUUUGUAGUUAUUCAGGAACCAUAUUUUCAAUAUUUGAUUGAUUAAUCUUUUAUAAUGUUACUUCUUCCAAAGUUUUUCAUUGGUUAUUUUCUUGUACUUUUCUUUUUCAAGGUACAGAAUUUUUCGAACAAACUGGUCGAUCACACUUCUGACGUAUUGAGAUUCAUUUGUUAUAGCAAAUUGUCCUUCAGGGAUAUCAAUAUUUGCUGGAGUAUUUUCUAUUGGAAUAUAUGAAUUGUCAUUUUCUAGUGUUAAGAAAAACAUUAGGUAAUUGAUUUGCAACCUUCUGGAAAUGAAUGAUUUGUUCAACAUUUUGCUCACAUUAAUUGCUAAGAGAAUUAAAAUGAGAUAAAGUUAUUUCAUUCCAAGAACUUUUACCUUAUUCUUCAGGAUGCAGUUUUUAUCUUCCAAAGUUAGGAAAGUCAUUUUAUUAAAAUGACAAUUUGCAAAACGUAUUAUAAAUAAAUCACUUGCUAAAGGUUCAAGAUACAUAAUAAUAGAUGGUCAAUCAAAACCCACAUAAAUCUUAGUCUUUAUUGGGGGCCCGUUUUAGUACGUUAUAUGGUGCAAUGGAGAUUUGGACAAUACAACCAAAAAUUCUUAGGUGAGAAAUAUCAAGUUCAUGAUCAAAUGCAGUUGGUCUAAUACAAACCAAUAAUGCAACAUGUAAUAUGGUAUGUCCCAAACAAAAGAUAAGAAUUUUGUUUACAUAAGUACUUAUCUAACAAUAAGCUGUAGAUAUUUAAUAAAUGACUCCGCUAAACCAUUUUAUAUAUGGACAUGUGCAACCAAAUAUUCAAUUACAAUCCCAAUUGACAUAAAAUAAUUAUCAAAUGCUUGUGAUCUAAAUUCACAAACAUUGUCAAGACGAAUAGUCUUGAUUGAGUAAUAGGGAAUUGUGCUCAUAAUUUUAUGAUUUGAGUAAAUAGUCUAGAUAAGGAUACAUUCCUAGUAGAAGCAGGCAAACAUGUGAUCAUCUAAUGAAAGAAUCAAUUAAUAUCAUAAAAUAACGAAAUGGUUCACAUGGUGUGUUUAUUGUCCUACAUAUAUCUCCAUAAAUUCUUUCCAAGAAAAAUGGAGAUUCAAUACAUGACCUUCGUAGUUGAAGGUCUAAUGACUAAUUUACCUUGUGAAUAAGUUACACAUGGAUAAUCAAAAUAUAAAAGAAUCUUCUAGUUCUUUAAAAGAUGUCUAUGUGAGUCGAUUAUUAUUCAAUGCAUCAUGCCAACAUAUAAACGUUUUGGGCCAACGAACUUUUGGUUCGUGACAUUAUUUGAUUUAACUAUUUUUAUAAAUGUAUAAUACAUAUCAGAUUUAAGUGCAUGAAGUUUUUCUUUUAUUUGCAUUUUGCUAGAUACAAAAGAAAUUAUGUAAAGAUAUUUAACAUUAUUUUCUUGCAUCAUUUCAAUAUGAUAUCCGUUACAGCAGAUAUUUUUAAAACUAAGCCUAGAAUAAAGCAUAUUGUCAAUAUAUAAUUUUGUAUUUUUUGGUAAAAUAGUACAAGCUCUUCCAGGGCCUUUGACGUUAUUCGAUGCACCUGAUAUCGUAUUAACAUUACUUUCUGCUAAUGUUAAACCAAAAAAAAUAUAUUUUGUCUUGAAAAAUGGUAUGUGUAAUUAUACUUUCAAUCAAGCAGGUAUCUUGACAAAUCCAUCAUGAAUCUAUCAAUAUAAUAAAGUAAAUAUAUUUAAAAGGCUUGAAUUUAAAUUUAAAAAGGUAAAAUUAAUUCAAUGCUGUGAAAUUAACGAAGCAUAAUAAAGUUUCAAUUUUUUUUCGAAAAGUACAAAUAUAUUUUAAACUGAAUUUCUAAGAUAAAAGAAAAUACUGGAGAUAUAUAAAAAAUAAGCUAAUCUAUAUAUUCUAUCACACCACUCUUAAUUAAAUAGUCAAUAUUCCCAUUGGAUCAGCAAAGAAAUUGGAGACAUUUAGCUGAGUCACAUUAAUUGGGCUAUCAUAAUCAGAAAAAUUUGUCCCUAAAUUUCCCUUUCCCUUGAUUGAAUUUUGGUAAAGAUCCACAAAAUGUUUUGCCGUACGAUAGGUACAUGCCCUAUGCCUUUUCAUCCCCCAUUUAAAGCAACUUUCUUUAUACUCCUUUUUGGAUAUGCUACUUUCAUUUGCUUUGUAUCUUUUGAAAUUGUUAAACAGAUAAUUUUGUUGAUUAUUUCGUCCAUGGUUUAUUUCAUGUGCACAUUUGCCUCUACAUCCAAAUUCGUAUCCACGUCCACGUCCUUAUUUUGAUAUUGCAUUUGUUUCAGGUAACGCAUUACCAUUUGCUUCAAGCAAUGGUACAGAACUAGUUGGACAUAAUUCAUGAUUUUCAUCAACAGUUCAUUAUUUUGUUCAGCAAUAAGCAGGUAGGAUAUAAGUUCUGAGUACCUUUUGAAACCAUAAUGCUGCAUGAGCACAUUCGAAACGCCAAAGAUGGAAAAAGUUUUCUCCAACAUAUCCUUAUCAGUGGUUUUUUCUCCACACAAUAUGGAUUUUAAACUUAUUCUGAACAGUUCAGAAUUGUACUUACUAACAAUUUUGAAAUUUUCCAAACGAAUGUGCAUCCAUUCAUAAUGGGUUUUGGGAAAAACUAUAGUCCUCUGAUGAUCAAAUUUUUUAAUUUUUUUCAAAAAAUCUGUGGAUAUUUCUCAAUGAGAUAUUUAAUUUUCAAUCCAUCACAAAGAUGGUGACGAAGGAAGAACGACAUUUUUACAUUAUCUUGAAGGGAUUCUUUGUUUUCAUUUUUUAUUGUCUCUCUCAAACAUUUUAUGAUAAGAUGAAUAUCAACAUCAAGUGCUCAUGAUAGAUAGUUUUUGCUAGAUAUGUCAAAUGCAACAAACUCAAAUUUUGUGAUGUAUUGUUUGUCAUUUGAUUAAUUAUACAAUAAAUAAAUAGAAAAAAUUGCAGUAGCUGUCCCAAACCUUUCACAUUUUUGCAGACUUUACCUUAAUCCUUUCAUUUUGUGUCACCUACAGUCCCAAAACUUUCAAAAAUAUGCACAGAGGAUCCAAAUGGAUGGAAACUGUCAAUUUGACAGUUAGUUGACCAAUAAAGUCAAAAUUGGAUUAGUUUUGACCAAUUUAGAAGGGGCAAAAUGGUACUUUACAUUUUUUUAAAUUAAAAUAAGUUAUUUAAUUAAAUUAAAAAACCAAAAAAUAAAUAUAUAACUAAUAUAUAAACCCCAAUCAAAAACUUUCUCCGUCCUUCUUCUCCGAUAAGAGACCACCUGAACGCAGAACUCAACGAAAUCAACAUUAAUGGCAGAGAAAUUUCAAACCCAGCAGUGUCAAAAUCAACAAACCCACAGCAGAAAUCCAUUCAAUUUCCGUUGAUUGAAAGCACAAUCCCAAUAAUGGCAGAGAAAUUUCAAACCCAGCAGUGUCGACAGCACCGCCAGGUGACCAGCUACAACAACCCAUCUCACACAAAUUGUACAGUAAAUCGCCCCGCCACCAUCAAACCAAGUUGGGAACGUAAAGGAUCUUAAUCAGCCCGGAAUCAAGUUGGACGAAACUCUAGUUGUUCACUGAUGCAGUUUUAGAGAAAUGCUCUUACAAGCUUAACUUUAAUUUUUAAGUAAGUUAUUUUUAUUAGUACUUUAAUUUAAUUCACAACAAGACACCACUUCAAGAUGACUUCUUUUUUUUUUUUUUGGGACAAAGAAUCGUUGAUUUCAACGCGACAUAAAUUUGAAAAAGAAAGUACUUUCAAGAACUAUAUACUCUUGUUUUUCAAGCACGUAUAUUAUUGUAAGCUUUGUUAUGUUAUAUUUGUUAAGUUUUCAAGAAAAUACAUCAACGUGUAUUAUAAAAAAAACUUGGAAGUUGCUUGGUUCUUACUUCAUAUGAGAAAAGGUAUUGUUUCAAAUUGAACAAACAAAUUAUCAUAGGGGAAAUUUGCAACGUUAGUCCAAAACUUAUACACUUGGUAGGAAAUAGGUCUCGAUUCUAUUUCUUUUAGAGUUCACAUCUUCAAUACCAUUUCUAAUGUGCCAUAGUUUUUAAUUGACGAAAUCCAUUUAAUAAACACUUGUUACAAAAUUGAAGAAUAACGUAUCACUCUAAUAUUACUUGUUAGCAAAUUGAGUACAAGAUUCUAUGGCACAAAAUGAAGUAAAAAUCACAUUACAAGAAGAACACAAAACAUUAAAUGUGGAAAAACUCAACGGGCAGAAAAGGAGAAUUUUAUUAAUAACAAGAGAAAAUACAAUGUGUAGUGUUUUCCAAAUUGUAUUCUAACUCAUACAAGGCGAGGACCUAAAAAAGAAUAUGUUUUAGAUGGAAAGAAGACCAAAAAUCGCAUCGAAAGUAAGGAAUAAUUUUUUUACCGAAUAAAUAGGUCGCUCGAGUUGCAGUCGAGCAAUGGUUUAGCGCCUAGUUUGGUGCUCAAGCCCUAAAUCUCUGUCCAAAAUCAAAUUUUCGACUCUUAACUCCUUUUUCAACCAAAAACACCAAUAUCAAUCAAAUUUGAUCACGUAUUAACAACAGUUAAUUUUCGCCCCUACCAUUUGGGGUCCCUAUGAAAUUGGUAACAAAGGUUACAAUCAUGAUAUUCUUAACAUAUUACAAAAAGAAGAAUUGUCCCAUUCUUUAACAUAAAAAAUGUAUAGGAAACAUGAAGGCCACAUCCCACCACCAUUAGUUGUCGUUGAAUUUAGUUAAAGGGAUCGAAGGCCACCAACCAAAACUUUAGCUUUUGGAUUUUGCUUUUCCUUUACAUUUUACUAAAGAAACUCAAAUUGAUGUUUUUAAAAUCUACAUCCUGUCAUUAGAAUAGAAUUUAAUGAAUUUAUUAUUUUUUUAUUUAAUUCGUAUCAGACACCACUUCAAUAUAAUAAUUGAGAAAAAAGUUUGGAAAAGGAGAAAUAAUGACUUUUUUGACAAAGACUCGUUGAUUUCAACUCAAGACAUCAAAUUAAGAAAGAAAAUACUUUCAAGAACAAUAUAAAAUACAAGAUGUAUCAAUUUAAUAGAUUGUGCAACACUCUUGCAGACUUUUUCAAUAUUGAAUUUAUUUGUUCAGUAUCUAAUUUAACAAAUUUUUUUUAGCACGUAAAUUAUUGUAAGCUUUUUUGUGUUAUAAUUAUGCUGUAAUUUAUUAGGUUUUCAAGAACAUACAGCAACGUGAAUUAGCCACUUUAUUUUUUUUAUUUUUUAUUUUUAACAAAAAGAAGAAUUACCCCAUUCUUUAACAUAGAAAUUGUAUAGAAAAUAUCAAGGCCACAGCCUACCGCCAUUAGUUGUCUUGAAUUUAGUUAAAGGAUUCAAAGACCACUGGGCAAAAAUUUAGGGGGCGGUUGGUUUGUCGUUUUUGGGCCAUUUUCCGUUUUUCGUUUUCGAAAAUACGAAAAAUGCGUUUGGUCCGUCGUUUUCGAAAACGCAUUUUCGAAAAAGAGUUAAAAUUUAUAACUGAAAACGCAAAAUGAAUUUUAUCAUUUUAAACGUUUUCAGUUAUAAAUGCCCAAAACGCGAAAAACGCCCAAAACGUGGCGUUUUCGGGGAAAACUAAAAAUCGUUUUGAAAUCGAAAAUGAAAAAUGAAAAUGCAAACCAACCGCCUCCUUUAGCUUUUGAAUUUGCAUUUUCUUUAAAUUUUACUAAAGAAUUAAAAAUUGAUUUUUGUAAAAUCUGCUUCCUGUCAUUAGAAUGGAAUUUAAUGAAUUUAUCAACCAUUUUGCUGAAUUAUUCAAUAUUCUAAAUAUAUAAAUUUGUCUUUAACAAAGGAACGGGGAAGUCUUCGAUUUUUGGGGGAGAAAUCCUUUGAUUGCAUAGGGUGAGUUAUGAGAAGAGAGAAAAAAGAAUGAAAGUUAAUAAAUUUUUUGUGUAUUUUAUUAAGAACUAAAGUCCUAUAUUUAUAGGUAAGAAUUAAGGAUACAAUGGUAAUAAUUUUUAGAACUGUAGGGGUAAAAUUGUUAUUCACUACUAAACCCUAAUAAACUUGUCAUUUACAACACUUCCUCUUGAAUGACACUACAAAAUAUAUGUCUCGUUAAAACCUUGUUUGAUAAAAAUUCAAUUGGACAAAAAAAUCAAACUAAGGAAAAGAGUAUAGUUAUUUUGGAAUAUUAAAAAUAAAUGUUAUCUCAUUAAAACCUUGCUAGGAAAACCAUGUGAGAUAAAAGCUAAGCGAAGGAAAAAGAGUAUAGCUACUUCCACUGAUAUUGAUUAUUGAAAAUCUUUUGAAUUGACGCAUUCCAAUCUUGUGAACCAAUUUCUUGAAUAUAGAUGUCAGCAGUGCUUUUGUGAAUAAAUCGGCCACAUUAUUACUUGAGCGAAUUUGUUAGAUAUUGAUGUCACAAUUCUUUUGAAACUCGUGUGUACGAAAGAAUUUUGGAGAAAUAUGUUUUAUCUUAUCACCAUUGAUAUAACCUCCUUUGAGUUAUACAAUACAAGCUGCAUUGUUUUCAUACAAAUUUGUUGGACUAUCUUUGAUUGAAAUUAACCCUCUUGAUACUUGGAUAUGAUGAGACGUGUUUCUCAACCAUAUACAUUCUCGACCUGCUUCAUGGAUUGCAAAUUUUUAGAAUGAUUUGAGGAUGUUGCUGUCAAUGAUUGCUUUAUAUAUCUCCAUGAUAUAGCUGUUUCACCACAUGUAAAUGCAUAUUCUGUUUGUGAUUUAAUUUUAUGUGGGUCGGAGAGAUUGAUGCGAACCCGAUCAGUAAGGUUGCAAUCGAACUUACAAAAUAUUGAAUCAAACCUAGGAAAGUUCCAAACAACAAAGGUUUGUGGAAUUUGACACAAAAUAAUGGAUUAAACAACCCACACAGCCAAGAUGACAUGUAGACCUUUUAAUCACAAAAUUAAUAAAUCAAAAAUUCGAAUAAGUUAAAGAUCAAUUCGAAAAUUAAAUGAAUCAAGAAAUCUAGGCAAUUACAUGAAUACAUUGACCCCGUGAUUACACAAUUUAAGAAUCUCACUUUGAUUGGUGAACGCCACGAAAAAUCAUCCCGAUAAGUUUGAUAAAUUUUUCAUGAAGAACAAACAAGAAAACAAACUUGCCUCUCAAUUUCAAUAUGCGAAAAGUCUUCUUCCAAUGAAUAAUAAAACUCCUAUUUAUGCGAAAGAAUAUAAAACCUAAUUUAAAAAGGAAUAAAAUCCUAAAAUAUUGUAAAACACAAAAUUAGAGUCCUAAUAAUGUUAAAGUUACCAAAAAUAAGAAAUUGACUCAAAACAAAUCUUCUCGCGCGGAAAGGAAAUUUUCUAGCCAAAAAACUCAUAUGCGACCGCGACAUGUAUUUGGCUGCAGUCACAUGGCAUAUAGACUGCUACCUGUGAAAUCCCUGCACCCUCUCAUGCGGCCGCACGGUGGUUUUAACCAUGCGGUCGCAUGGUUACUUGGUUUUUGCUCCAAACUCGAUUUUCUUCCAACAACUUGAUUCAAUCGGUUUUUGGCCUUCAACCUCAAUACAAAUCCUGGACUUUGGCUCGUUGACUCCACCAUAUCGAAAUCCAUAACUCGACCAUGCAUUUAUACUGGUUUGUUGGCCCGAACGAAGCUUGAAUCUUGUCCUUAGCUGCCCUCCAACGUACAUCAAAUCAUUGGUCGUUUGGCGCCCAAGCCAAAUCACAUCAGAGAUAACCUGCAUCUAUAUAUCCCAAUAAAGCAGAUCCCGACAUUUGAGAAUAAAAUAAUCCCAAAUCUAUAGUGCCCUUUAGGUAAUGAAAAAUAUAUUUAAUACCAUUCUAAUGCCUUUGAGUUGGUGUAGAAAUAUAUUUUCAUGAAGAUUUACAGAAAAAGUUAUGUCAGGUCGAGUACAAUUUGCAAUAUAAGUUAAUACUCCAAUUGCACUAAGAUAUGCUACUUCAGGACCAAGAAUUUUUCUCCAUCUUCAAGAAGACAAAAAUUGAUCUUUUUUCACAUCAAGUGAUCAAACAACAAUAUGUGAUAAGCGCUUUAAGACUAGUUCUGUGUAAGUAGAUGAUGAAUAAAAAAUGCUUCUGGGAAAUGUCCGAGACAAAAAUUGGUUUUCGCUAAUUUUUCAUCUCAAAUUCAUUUUUCAAAUAAUCACCAGUUUGUUAAGCUCUUCAAGAGUUCCAAUUAAAUUUAAAUCAACAUAAACGGCCACAUAUACAAAUAUAAUAUUUGUUUUUUUAUGAAAACACAUGGGGCAGACAUCGUCAUUUGUAUAACUCUCUUUCACAAAUAUUUUCUAAGACGAUUAUAUCACAUGCGUUCAGAUUUUUUCAUUCCAUUUAAUAAUCUUUACAAUUUAAUUGAUAACAUGGUUCUCGGACAUGUAUCAUUUGUUCCUAACACUUUAAGUCCUUCGGGAACUUUUAUAUAUAUGUCACUAUCAAGUGAAUCAUACAAAUAGACAGUUCCAACAUCCACAAGGCGCAUAUCAGGUCUUUGUGAUACGAUCAAACAAAUUAACAAUCUAAAAGUUAUGAUUUCCAUUACGAGAGAGUAUGUUUCUUCAUAAUCAAAUUUCGAUCUUUGUGAGAAACACUGAGCUACAAAUCAGGCUUUGUCUAUUGUAACUUAAUUAUUUUCGUUUCUCUUUCGUACAAAAAUCCAUUUAUAUCUUACAGUGAUUACAUUUCAGGUGUUCAAGUUACAAGUCCAAACUUUUUUUUUUUUCAUUUUUCUAAGGAAUUUAAUUUCACUUGUAUGACUUCUUUCUAUUCUGGCCAAUCAUUUCUAUUUUAACAGUCUUUAACUGAUUGUGGUUCGGGGUCCUCAUUUUACAUAAUAUUAAGAGUCACAUUAAAUGUGAAAAUAUCAUUUAUAACAAUAUUAUUCCGUUCCCAUAAUUUAUGAGAUAAUAUAUAAUUUAUUGAAGUCUCAUUAUUUUCGGACACUUGUAGUUCUUCAGGAACCAUAUUUUCAAUAUUUGAUUGAUCAAUCUUUUAUAGUGUUACUUCUUCCAAAGUUUUUGAUUGGUUAUUUUCUUGUACUUUUCUUUUUUCGAGGUACAGAAUUUUUCGAACAAACUGGUCAAUCACACUUCUGACGUAUUGGGAUUCAUUUGUUAUAGCAAAUUGUCCUUCGGGGAUAUCAAUAUUUGCUAGAGUAUUUUCUAUUGGAAUGUAUGAAUUGUCAUUUUCUAGUGUCAACAAAAACAUUAGGUAAUUGAUUUGCAACCUUUUGGAAAUGAAUGAUUUGUUCAACAUUUUGCUCACAUUGAUUGCUGAGAGAAUUAAAAUGAGAUAGAAUUAUUUCAUUCCAAGAACUUUUACCUUAUUCUUCAGGAUGUAGUUUUUACCUUUCAAAGUUAGGAAAGUCAUUUUAUUAAAAUGACAAUCUGCAAAACGUAUUAUAAAUAAAUCACUUGCUAAAGGUUCAAAAUACAUAAUAAUAGACGGUCAAUCAAAAUCCACAUAAAUCUUAGUCUUUGUUGGGGGCCCAUUUUAGUACGUUAUAUGGUGCGAUGGAAACUUGGACAAUACAAUCAAAAAUUCUUAGGUGAGAAAUAUCAGGUUCAUGAUCAAAUGCAGUUGGUCUAAUACAAACCAAUAAUGCAACAUGUAAUAUGGUAUGUCCCAAACAAAAGAUAAGAAUUUUGUUUACAUAAGUACUUAUCUAACAAUAAGUUGUAGAUAUUUAAUAAAUGACUCCGCUAAACCAUUUUAUAUAUGGACAUGUGCAACCAAAUAUUCAAUUACAAUCCCAAUUGACAUAAAAUAAUCAUCAAAUACUUGUAAUCUAAAUUCACAAGCAUUGUCAAGACGAAUAGUCUUGAUUGAGUAAUAGGGAACUGUACUCAUAAUUUUAUGAUUUGAGUAAAUAAUCUAGAUAAGGAUACAUUCCUAGUAGAAGCAGGCAAACAUGUGAUCAUCUAAUAAAAGAAUCAAUUAAUAUCAUAAAAUAACGAAAUGGUUUACAUGGUGUGUUUAUUGUCCUACAUAUAUCUCCAUAAAUUCUUUCCAAGAAAAAUGGAGAUUCAAUACAUGACCUUCGUAGUCGAAGGUCUAAUGACUAAUUUACCUUGUGAAUAAGUUACACAUGGAUGAUCAAAAUGUAAAAGAAUCGUCUAGUUCUUUAAAGGAUGUCUGUGUGAGUCGAUUAUUAUUCAAUGCAUCAUGCCAACAUAUAAACGUUUUGGGCCAACGAACUUUUGGUUCGUGACAUCAUUUGAUUUAACUAUUUUUAUAAAUGUAUAAUACAUGUCAGAUGUAAGUGCAUGAAGUUUUUCUUUUAUUUGCUUUUUAUUAGAUACAAAAGAAAUUAUGUAAAGAUAUUCAACAUUAUUUUCUUGCAUCAUUUCAAUAUGAUAUCCGUUACAGCAGAUAUUUUUAAAACUAAGCCUAGAAUAAAGUAUAUCGUCAAUAUAUAAUUUUGUAUUUUUUGGUAAAAUAAUACAAGCUCUUCCGGGACUUUUGACGUUAUUCGAUGCACCUGAUAUCGUAUUAACAUUACUUUCUGCUAAUGUUAAACCAAAAAAUAUAUAUUUUGUCUUGAAAAAUGGUAUGUGUAAUUACACUUUCAAUCAAAUAGGUAUUUUGACAAAUCCAUCAUGAAUCUAUCAAUAUAAUAAAGUAAAUAUAUUUAAAAGGCUUGAAUUUAAAUUUAAAAAGGUAAAAAUAAUUCAAUGCUGUGAAAUUAACGAAGCAUAAUAAAGUUUCAAUUUUUUUCGAAAAGUACAAAUAUAUUUUAAACUGAAUUUCUAAGAUAAAAGAAAAUACUGGAGACAUAAAAAAAAGCUAAUCUAUAUAUUCUAUCACACCACUCUUAAUUAAAUAGUCAAUAUUCCCAUUGGAUCAGCAAAGAAAUUGAAGACACUCAACUGAGUCACAUCAAUUGGGCUAUCAUAAUCAGAAAAAUUUGUUCCUAAAUUUCCCUUUCCCUUAUUGAAUUUUGGUAAAGAUCCACAAGAUAUUUUGUCGUACGAUAGGUACAUGCCCUAUGCCUUUUCAUCCCCCAUUUAAAGCAACUUUCUUUAUGCUCCUUUAUGGAUAUGCUACUUUCGUUUACUUUGUAUUUUUGGAAGUUGUUACAUUGUUGUUGAUAGUUUUGUUGAUUAUUUCGUCCAUGGUUUAUUCCAUGUGCAUGUUUGCAUCUACAUCCAAAUUCGUAUCCAUGUCCACGUCCUUAUUUUAAUAUUGCAUUUGCUUCAGGUAACGCAUUACCAUUUGCUUCAAGCAAUGGUACAGAACUAGUUGGACAUAAUUCAUGAUUUUCAUCAACAGUUCAUUAUUUUGUUCAGCAAUAAGCAAGUAGGAUAUAAGUUUUGAGUACAUUUUGAAACCAUAAUGCUAUAUAAGCACAUUCGAAACGUGAAAGGUGGAAAAAGUUCUCUCCAACAUAUCCUUAUCAGUGGUUUUUUCUCCACACAAUAUCGAUUUUAAACUUAUUCUGAACAGUUCAGAAUUGUACUUACUAACAAUUUUGAAAUUUUGUAAACGAAUGUGCAUCCAUUCAUAACGGGUUCUGGGAAGGAUUAUAGUCCUCUGAUGAUAAAUUUUUUUAAUUUUUUCAAAAAAUCUGUGGAUAUUUCUCAAUGAGAUAUUUAAUUUUCAAUCCAUCACGAAGAUGGUGACGAAGGAAGAACAACAUUUUUACAUGAUCUUGAAGGGAUUCUUUGUUUUCUUUUUUUAUUGUCUCUCUCAAACAUUUUAUGACAAGAUGAAUAUCAACAUCAAGUGCUCAUGAUAGAUAGUUUUUGCUAGAUAUGUCAAAUGCAACAAACUCAAAUUUUGUGAUGUUUGUCAUUUGAUUAAUUAUACAAUAAAUAAAUAGGAAAAAUUGCAGUAACUGUCCCAAACCUUUCACAUUUUUGCAGACUUUACCUUAAUCCCUUCAUUUUGUGUUACCAACAGUCCCAAAACUUUCAAAAAUAUGCACCGAGAAUUCAAAUAGAUGGAAACUGUCAAUUUGACAGUUAGUUGACCAAUAAAGUCAAAAUUGGAUUAGUUUUGACCAUUUUAGAAGGGGCAAAAUGGUACUUUACAUUUUUAAAAAAAAUUAAAAUAAGUUAUUUAAUUAAAUUAAAAAACCAAAAAAUAAAUAUAUAACUAAUAUAUAAACCCCAAUCAAAAACUUUCUCCGUCCUUCUUCUCCGACGAGAGACCACCUGAACGCAGAACUCAACGAAAUCAACAUUAAUGGCAGAGAAAUUUCAAACCCAGCAGUGUCAAAAUCAACAAACCCACCGCAGAAAUCCAUUCAAUUUCCGUUGAUUGAAAGCACAAUCCCAAUAAUGGCAGAGAAAUUUCAAACCCAGCAGUGUCGACAGCACCGCCAGGUGACCAGCUACAACAACCCAUCUCACACAAAUUGUCCAGUAAAUCGCCCCGCCACCAUCAAACCAAGUUGGGAACGUAAAGGAUCUUAAUCAGCCCGGAAUCAAGUUGGACGAAACUCUAGUUGUUCACCGGAUGCGCCAUUGCCUGUAUGACAUAAUCGGUAGUGAUGUGGUAACAUUGAGGCUAUUGAGUUUGGUAAAGCCGAAAUUGAGUCACGGGGAGAGUUUCUUUUGGAGAUUCGUCGAGGCCUUGCAUAAUUAAUCGGCAUUUUUCGAUGCUAUUGGUGAUGGAUUGGGUGCAGAUAGUAUAGAGAAGCAUACGGUAGAGCAACUGUUCUUUAGUGUGAGAUUAGGAACAUUGUCGUGGUGGUUGGGCCCAAGCGGUUAAUGGCGAAUUGGCAAUGGCCGGCGGUGGUGACGCUCGACGGUGGCGACGCCCCUGUUGUCUUUGGUUUGGUUUUAAGGUUGGCGUGGUUGGGGGGAUUGGCGAGGAGAAGACAACUGGUUUUAGAUUUUUAUUUUUUUUAUUUAGUUAUUUUAUUUUAUUUUAAUUGUUUUAUUAUAUAAAUGUAAAGUACCAUUUUACCCCUUCUAAAUUGGUCAAAACUAGUCCAAUUUUGACUUUAUUAGUUAACUAAUGGUCAAACUGUCUUCCAUUCAUUUGGAUCCCUGUUACAUAUUUUUUAAAGGUUUGAAACUGUAAAUGGCACAAAAUGAAAAUUAAGGUAAAAUCUGCAAAAAUGUGAAAGAUUUGGGAUCGCUACAUAAAUUUUCCAUAAAGAAAUACAAUAGUUUUGAAGAAGGGUAAUUGGGGCAAAACAUCCCUACCUUUCAAAGUUAUUGUGGAAAACAUCUAUAUCUUUCAUUUUUUUGGCAUUUUUGCCUCUAUUUUCACUUUUUUUUGCACUGAACGUCACUUCUACCAAAUUUUGAAGUAAAAUGACCAAUAUGCCCUCAUAUACUAACAAAACAAAAAAAGAAUAGAAAAUUGCAAUUAUAACCGAACUUUUAAAAAGUACAAACGAGUCAAAAUUUUUAAAAAAACCAUCACCAAACCAUCUAAACUCAAAAUGGGGCCCAUCUUUCGAGCCAAAAAAACUCCCACAUAGAGACAACACUAUCCCCGUUUCUUUUGGAGAUUCGUCGAGGCCUUGCAUAAUUAAUCGGCAUUUUUCGAUGCUAUUGGUGAUGGAUUGGGUGCAGAUAGUACAGAGAAGCAUACGGUAGAGCAACUGCUCUUUAGUGUGAGAUUAGGAACAUUGUCGUGGUUGUUGGGCCCAAGCGGUUAAUGGCGUUGGCCGGCGGUGGUGACGCUCGACGGUGGCGACGCCCCUGUUGUCUUUGGUUUGGUUUUAAUUGAUUUUCUGGAGGAUCUCCUGCUUCUAGUUUGUCUAACGAGAAUGAACUAAUGCACCCAAAUGCACUUCCACUAGGAGGCGUAGGGUGAGGGGAUAAUUUGUUUCCGUAAAAUAAUUUUAUCUCACAAUUUAUCUCAUAAAACAUGUCUCUGACUCUCUUGAAGAGACUUUCUGGUUUGGAAGCGUGGGGGUAGGGAUAGUGGAUUGUCUCUGUUUAGGAGUUUUUUUAGCUCCAAAGGUGGGCUCCAUUUUUAUUUUAGGUGGUUUCUGUUAGGAAUUUACUUAAACAUGCACAGCGAAAUUUAACAAAUUUCAAUUUUCAUUUAGGAUUCAGCUUUGUAUUUAGAUAAAAACUAUGAUAAGAAAUAUACCUUUACUUGUGAUUUGCAAACUCCUUCGCGUUAUUCCUUUCCAGCAGCUUGAAUCUGUCUCCCACAACUGUCCAAUUGUCCAGCCUCCAAUGAAAUCCACACAGAGAGUAGACUGCAACUGCUAGGGUUUCUUUCUUGUGCUAGCAAGAAUAAUGAAUACCUGAUGGACAUCAAACCCUAGCUGUGUAUAUAUAUAAACCCAAACGGACCCGGCCCGGUCCGAUCCAAUAUUUAAUUAAUCCAAUUAAUCAAACCCGGUCCGUGAAUUAAUUAAUCCAAUUAAUUAAUUCGGGAUUAUAAAUAACAAAUUCAAUUAAUUAAUUUAUCCAACGAUUGUUAUAUUAAUCAAUUGACAAUUUGCAGUCUUCCAAUUCUCUUUUGUGUGCGACCCAUUAGGUUCCCGACCACGAUGCCUAACGUUGUGAAAUAUUAUUUUGAUCUAAUCAAAAUUGAUAAAUUAAUACACCCUUUUAAUUUAUCGUCAAUUCACAUUCGCCGUCCCUGAUUGACAUCUAGCAAUGUGUCAGGGCAAUACAUGUGACGGGAAAUGUCACGUGGUAUGACAAAACCAAAUUCGUUCGUUUACCGUGGAACUAUUAUCCCUUCGUCAAUUCGAUCCGAUCAAUUACGAGAUAUGGAAUUGUGUCAAUCUCGAUCAUUGAUCAUAUCUUUUACUCCACUAUUAAGUCAAUAUAAAUCGAAAUCUCCUUUUCGACUUAUGAGUACACCUUGGCCAAGGAUUUCAUCAUCGACUUAAUUGAAUGAAACGCAGAUCAUAAUCUCCUACUAUCUAAGAGUGACGAAUCCUUUAUUGAUCAAUCACAACCUUCAUACGAUUCUUGACGUACCCGAACGAUGUCGUAUUAGCGGCCCCUUUCAGAGCAACAUCCAACAUCGCCAAAGUAUGACUGUCCUCAUAUAAGGUAUCAUGACGACCUCAAGUCAAAUGACCAAUUCCACUACCGAACGUUAGAGAUUAGCCACUGACACUCAGAUAGUUAUCCAUGUGGAAUCUUUUAGCGAGUCUCCAAUGUUUUGUUCUAUAACAAAACAUCUACGUGUUCAUUUAAGUGUCACCACACUUUAGCUCUUGAGAUCAGCUACUUACUUUACAAGUAAAAAAUGCCACACGUGAUGGUCUAACUGUAUUAACGAUAUUCGUAUCUCGUUAUUACUUACGACCAUGGUUUAUUCAAGAUCCAAUUAUAUGUAAUUUGUAUUUCACAAUCACAACUCCUUGUGAUUAACAUAUUACCUAAAAAUUGGAUCUUCGGAUUCUAUUAUUUAUUACAAAAUUAAUUUAAAUAAAUAAUAGUUCUCGCCAAAAUCAAAUGCAUUAAAUAUAUUAAAAGCGUUUACAACAUAAAUCGAUUGGAUCUAGGGCAUAACACUUACAGUUUGGUGAUGGUUUUUUUAAAAUUUGGAUUCAUUUGUAUUUUUAAAAGUUUGGGUUUAUUGUUGUAAUUUUUUUCUGUUUAAAUAGGAGGGUAUAUAGGUCAUUUUACGUCAAAAAUGGUGAAAAAGAUGUUCAGCGAAAAAAAAAAAAAAACAAUUGAAAAUAGGGGCAAAAUGCCAAAAAAUAAAAGGUAUGGAUGUUUUUCACAAUACCCUCGAAAGGUAGAGAUGUUUUGCGCUAAUUACUCUUUCGAAAAAUUUGAUUAAAGAUUAUAUCACAUAAUAAUUAACUUAAGUAGUCAAUGCCAACAUGACACAAGUCAUAUGUUUCCUUUCAGAGAUAAAACACUAAUUAAAAAAUAAUAUAUUCUUCGAAAUACGUGUUAUUUCGAGAGUACGUUAUAUUUUUCUAUUGCUUCUUCAAGAGCAAUAUAUCAAUAUUCUUUUAGAAUAUUGAAAAAUAUAAUUUAUAUUCUCUAGGAGCAAGUAAUAUUCUUCAAGAAUAUGAAUUAUAAUAUUAUGUUACUUUAUAAGCAAUAAAAAUUAUUUAUGAUAGACAGAUUUACAUUUAAUAUUCUUCUGAAAUAUUAAUUAUAAAAUUGUGUUACUUCAGGGGCAACAACAUGAUAAAUUAUUAAUUUAAAAUUUAUAUAAGAAAAUCUGAAAAUAUUUAAUCAUGUUAAGUUACAGAGCAUUUAAUAAUAAUUAUAAAAUAUUUAUCCUACCAAAUAAACUAAAGCAUAGAGUAAGGAAAUAAAAGCAUAAACUAAAGAAUAAUAUUUUGUACAGACAAACAUGAAUAGUAUGUGUACAAUUAUGAAUUAAAGUAUGAAUAUAUGUAUAGAAGAGCAGCCUCAUACAAAAAUUCAUUGUUUAACCAUUUCAAUAUUUACGGUAAAAGAAGAAAACAAACAUAAUGUUUUCAUAAAAAAAAAAGGAUAAUUGGCGCAAAACGUCCCUACCUUUAGAGGUUAUUGUGGAAAACAUCUCUAUUUUUCAUUUUUUGACAUUUUUGCCCUUAUUUCAACAUUUCGUUUCACUGAAAGUCAUUUUCACUGUUUUGGAACAAAAAAUGACAAUUAUACCCUCUGUUUAAAACAAAAAAUGAAAAGAUAGGAUCCAAUGCUUGACGGCGCUGUGCGUGGUGGUGAAUGUAUGUGGUUUGUAGUGGUACCGAGGUGAUAGUUUUUGUUGAGUUGAUGGUUUUUGGAGUGGUGGUGGUUUUUCGUGUUUUGGUGUUGGGGGUGGUUUUUGUUGGUGUUUGUGGUGUUAUUGUUAUUGUUGUUGUUGAUGUUGUUGUUGGUGGUGGUGGUAGUGGGGCGAGACGGACAGUGUUUGUAGCUAACUAUUUAGGUGCUUGUGAUCAGGUAUUGGUGAUUGAUAUCAAUCGGGAUCGAGGGUGGAGUGUUUGGUGUAUGUGACUAACUAUUUAAUUGUAACCUAAAAAAAGGAUAAUUUGUGACCAACUAAUUUAAAAAUUCGUGAUCAAUGAAUUAACUGUAACCUAUAAUUUUUAAAUUUGUGAUUGAUGAAAUAUAUUAUGACCUAUGAAAAUUUUGAUUUGUGACAUUAAAAUAAUCUGUGACCAAUUAAUUUGAUAAUAUAUGACCAAUAAAUAAAUUGUGACAUAUAAGCAUGUUACCUAUGACCAUUAAUUAUAUAAUUGCGACCUUAGUAUAUUUAAUUAAUAAAAUAUUUAUAAUUAUUCAUUUAUCACCCGAAUUUUAUAUUUUGAAAUUUGAAUUGUCCCAUAAUUAAUACCCUUGUUGUAAAUUUUUCCCUUAUAUUAUAUGGUUAGUUGUUCAAAUGAUUGUAUUUUGAAUUAAAAAUUAAAGAAUUUUUUCUUAUUGUCUUUGGCCCAAAUUUCGAUCUUUCUCACUACCCAAAUUUGGAAUGAGAACGAAUAGAGUGCGAUCAAGGAAGCCCUUCUCUCGUCCUCUACCGAGGAUUAAAAUAUCCUCAUUUUCUCCAUUUAUUAAGCCACUGCUUGAUCUUUAUUAAAUUUUUUUUUUUUGAAAAAAAUGUGUUUUGAAAUAUUUAUUUUUUGGAGAUUGUGUAGUUAAAAAAAUAAGGAAAGUUUUGCGUUCAUGUGCUAUAUUAUUUUAUAGGAGAAUAUAUAGUUGCAAAUAGGCCUGGGCAUUUUGAUCAGAAUCGAAUCUCCCGAAUUGAAACCGAACUUGAAUCGAAAAUUUCAAUCCGGUUCCUCAAAAAAUAAAGAGGUAAUUAUAUAAAAUCAGAAUGUUAAAGAUUCAAUUUCGAAAAUCAGAGAUAAAAUUUAUUUAUACAAUAAUUAAUAUUAAUAAUUCAACCAAAAUUGAAAAUUCAACGCAAACCCUCCCCGCUCAUUUCUCUCUCUAGCUCCCUCACUCACGGCAAUCGACUCUCUCCAUAUCCAUCGAACAUCAUAGCCUGCCGACGUCUCGUUUCUAAUCGUCGGUAAGUAAUGACCCCUUCUUCAUCGUCGAAAACCGACAAUUCUCUCUCUAUGUUCUCACCUCUCUCUGCCGGAAAGUGACCUUGCCGAAAUGAAGCCUUGAGAAGCAGCCGAACAUCACCACCUCUAUCAUAGGUUGCUUCAGGGCCAAGUCACCUGAUGUACCUUAUGAUUGUGAAGCAGAUCUUUUGAGAUAAGACCGUGGGUUAUUGUUGUGUUGUGGGUUGUGGCGGUGGCUACGAUCAUAUGGUGGUGGUAGUGGCUGCGGUGGUGGUGAUGUUCACUGUGGUGGUAGAGGUGGGAAUGUCUUUGGAUUGAGUUGUUGGCUGUGGUAUUUUUUGGUGAUAUUUGGGUGGUGGUGGUGGCUGCUUACAUAUUUUGGCGUUGGCGGUGAUGGUCGUGGAAGUAGGUGCGAUGGUGAUUGUGGUAUGUUGGUGUUCUAAAAUGUGUUGAGGUGGUGGUGGUUCUGGCGAGUGGAACUAGCUGAAAAAUUACGUUUGGGUGAGGUUGUGAGUUGAGUAUUGUUAGUUUGUUUGGUGGCGGUGGUUGUGGUGGUUUUUGGCGACGGUGGAGGUUGUUGGUUUCAGAGUUUGGUGUGUGGUGAUGGUGUGGUUACUGUGACGGUUGUUGUGGCGGGUGGUCGUCGGGGGUAGAUGGGAUGGGAUGUAGGGGGUGUUUGUGACCAGUAUUUUGUUUCUAAUAAAUAAUAUGUAACCUAAAAAAUGUAACUGUGAUCAACAAACAAGUUGUGACCAAUAAAAAUUUUGAUUUUGUAAUCAAUCAAUGAAUUGUGACAUAUGAAAUUUUUGAUUUGUGACUGAUCAAUGAACUGUGACCAGUAAAAAAAUUGAUUUUGUGACCGAUCAAAUAAUUGUGACCUAUGAAAUUUUUUAUUUGUGACUGAUGAAUUGUGACAAAAAAAAUUUGAUUUUGUGACCAAUCAAUGAAUUGUGACCUAUGAAAUUUUUGAUUUGUGACCGACAAAUGAGUUAUGAUCAAUAAAAAUUUUGAUUUGUGACCGAUCAAUGAAUUGCGACCUAUGAAAUUUUUGAUUUAUGAUCUAUAGAAUUUUGAAUUUGUGAUUUAAAAAUAAUUUGUGACCAAUUAAUUUGAUAAACUGUGACCAAAUAUAUAGAUUUGUGACCUUAAUAUGUUUAAUUAAUAAAAUAUUUUUUUAAUAAAUUAUUUCAUUAAGAGUAUCUGAAAUUUGAAAUUGCAAACCUUCUCCUCUUAAUUUUGAAGUAGGCUAUAAAUAAAUUUUUACAAAUGAAUUUUUCCCAAAAAUAAAUUAGGAACCGGAAUUGAUAACCGACUGGGUUCGGUUCUUGGUUCCUAUGCUAGAACCGUGGGUACUUGAGUUGAAUCGAUUUUUAUGAAAAAAAAAAUUAUUUAAAUUUUAUAGGCUUAAAAAACAUAUAAAACCUAAAAAUCCUAAAUUUGGUAGUAAUUAGUCUAAAACUUUAAAUUCUUACCCCUAAAAAAUAAGUUUGGCUCUUACUUUUUAACAUUUCGCCUUACAUCAGAUUGUUGCAUUUCAGAUGUUAUUAUGUUAAUGUUUACAAUUUGAACUUUUUACAAAUCAAAAAUUUCAAAAAGGUUGUGGUAUAAGUUGAUGAAUCAAAGCGUUUAUUCUUUACAAUUCAAAAUUUUUUUUAUUGUUAAUAAACUGAAGUGAUUCUUUUAAUUUUUCAUAACACGUGGCAAUUGAAUUUAAUAUAUUCAUUGCUUGCGCUGUGUUGUACCUUUUUGUUAUCUUGAGUUCGUGGUUCUCUUUUUAAAUAUAUAUUUUUAUUUUUUUAUUCAAAUAGAGUGAGUUCAAUAUGUGGACCGUAAUUUUUUGAUACUAUAUUAUUUAUGUAUUUAAUUAGUAUUUUUUUUUAUAUCAGUUCGUUUUAAAAGUAGAAGAAUUUAAGCAUUGUUUAUAAUUAAAUUAUAUGCCUAAUAUGCUUCUCUUAUGGAUCGAAUAAGAUUUAUUAAGAAAGAUUAUAUAUUUUUUUAUAUUAUAAUUUUACUUUUGAUCUUUACUUUAUUUUCUCCUAUUAUAUCCAAUAUUUUGCUCGUUGAAAGUUUUUUAACUGAAUUUUCUCCAUUGCAUAAAUAUUUUCAAGUAACAGCUUAUUAGCCUACUAGGGGCGUGUAUGGUAAAAAAUUUUCACUAGAUUUUCAUUGCUUUUUGGACCUUUUUUUCCACCGGGGGUCCCACACAAGACUCAUUCAGUCCAAGAUUGCGGCUCCAACGGUAAGAAAUCUGCUGCCCAAUGGUCAGAAUUCUGAUGAAAAUUUCUCCCAGUCAGGGCCUAAGUAUAUGUACCAAAAUGGUUUAUAUAAAAUAUUUAUUAAAUGUAUAUAAAAAUAUUAUGGAUAACCGACUAUUUGAAUUUAGGUUUGGUUCCAAUAUUUAAAAAGAUCCGAAUGAUUCCAUUUGCGAAAUAUUCGAAGUAUAAUAGAUGAUUUUGGAUAUUAAAAUACUUGCAUCGAUCCAUCCGAUGCCCAGGCCUAAUUGAAAAUGAGUUAUAGAAAAAUAUAUAUUUCGAAAAAAUAAAGUCCAAACAAGGGCUAAAUACAAUUUGAAUAUCAAGAUAUAUUAAAAUGGGAUGAGACAGAACAUCAUCGUCGUCCCAAAUAGAUAAGUAAUUAAACAAGAUGAUAAAUAAUUUUUUUUUUCUCCAUCUUGCUUUAUUUCGCUUCUGGAAAAGUCAAUAAUGGCUGCCCGCUGCCUAGGGGUGUCAAAAAGGUUCGGAGGCUCAGGCGGCUCGUGGUCCAGCUCGUGGCUCGGAGCCGACCCCAAAAUGGGGGGUUGGCCCGAGCCCGGGCCAGCCCGUAAAAGAAAAAAAAUAAAGAAAAAAUUAAUACGUUGCAUUGCAUUGUGAGGCAGCAUUUCUUCCAAUUAAAGGAAUCAUUAAGCUGCCAAAUUUUGUAUAUUAUAAUGAGUAACGAGUGAGCUGUGGUUACGUGACGCUCUGCCUGGGGAAUGGAAUAUCUUACUGUAUUUUGUACUCUAUAUUAGAGCUGUUUGAGUCCCAUCAUUUGUAGAUUAUAAUGAGAUAAUCCCAACUUAAUUGGAUUUUUUUAAAGAUGCAAUCCCGUUUAGUACUUUAAACCUAACGAAUUAUUCUAGUGGUACCUAAAGGAGUACCGAAGGGUGUAGAAUAAUCCAAACCAAACAGAGACGAUUUUUGGCAGAACCUAAUGGUCAUUUUAAAAGCAGCUGAUGGAUGAAGACAGCUAAUAAAACAAGAAAAAGUGGAAGCAAUAACAAGGAAAGUUCGAUCACAAGCACCAACUGCCAUAGAAAUUAACUCGAAAUACAUCAAAAUAUGUCGUGCAUGAGAACUAUAGUCUCAUUUAUGCCAAAACUAAUCCACGGAGAAAGCUUAUUGAAUCAAUGAGACAGCAAAUUAUGAACAAAACCGACUAGAACAUUCACGAUAGUUACAUAUAUGACACUUUUCCCUUUAUUUGCUCCAACAUAACACCGGAAAUGUUUUCCACGAAGUAUGACUGAUGUUUGUGAUGACAGUUUUAUCCGUAUAGGAAAAAUAAAUAAAGAAGACAUCCAAAAGUAGAAAAAACAAGAACUCUAAGAAUACAGAUUUAAGAUCAAAAGUAAGGUAAAAUUAUUGUUUUUGUUAAAUUUAGAAAGAAUUCUUCUAAUAUCUUGAAAGAAUUGUAGGGAUUAUUAUUGUUCAUGUUUGCAAAAAACUUAUCUAAAUAUGUUAUUAUUCAUAAAGUUUGCAAGGAAUUAUUUGAAUAAUGCCAGGUUAUACAAUUAAAGGAUUAGAUAAUCUGUUAGAUAGAUUAAUGGAAAAAAUAGAAAAUAUUUAUUCUCAAUUAGAGAUUAUGGAUAUAUUAUCGAAGGAAUUUGAUAAUCUUAGUAAAUUACAUGACAAUUAUAUUACAGAUUAUGCUAAUUUAUUAGAUCAAAGGAUGAAAUUAUAUAUUAAAACUCGAAAUGAGAGAAAUAGAGGAAUUUAAAACUAUCCCAAUAAAUUAAGGAUAUCUUGUGCAAUAUAUGAUAAAUUAUUUCAUUAAGGGUAUAAUAGACAUUUUAUCAAAAAUAAAUAGUAGCAGGUCAUUUAUAAUAAUACCCCCUAUCCCCUCACCCCACCCCACGCACUCCAACUUUCUGCAACCGUCCAUUUUGGUCGGAUUCCGGAGCUAGUGGAGUUCCAUGGUUGGAUAUUUCUUAUGAUCCGAGAGUUUCUGGCUCUUCUUCGAUGCCGUUCAAGAGCUCGGAUCUCGGAUUCCGAUUUGUGGUGGCAGUGGGGAGAUCAAACAAACAACAAAUCUCAUUAAACAAACACUUCAAAAAAUCUCAUAAAACAAUCACUUCAAAAAUCUCACUUCAAAAAAUCAUUCCCAAACAAACACAAAAUAAUUUUUCACUUAAAAAUUCCUAUUGGAACCGUUCAACUUGGCUCUGGAUUUUCUGGAGGAUAUCCUGCUUCUAGUUUGUCUAACGAGAAUGAACUAAUGCACCCAAAUGCACUCCCACUAGGGGGGGUAGGGUGAGGGGAUAAUUUGUUUCCGUAAAAUAAUUUUAUCUCACAAUUUAUCUCAUAAAACAUGUCUCUGACUCUCUUGAACAGACUUUCUGGUUUGGAAGCGUGGGGGUAGGGAUAGUGGAUUGUCUCUGUUUAGGAGUUUUUUUAGCUCCAACGGUGGGCUCCAUUUUUAUUUUAGGUGGUUUGGUGAUGGUUUUUUUUAAAAUUUGGAUUCAUUUGUAUUUUUAAAAGUUUGGGUUUAUUGUUGUAAUUUUUCUCUGUUUAAAUAGGAGGGUAUAUUGGUCAUUUUACGUCAAAAAUGGUGAAAAGGAUGUUCAGCGCAAAAAAAAAAAUGAAAAUAGAGGCAAAAUGCUAAAAAAUAAAAGGUAUGGAUGUUUUUCACAAUACUCUCGAAAGGUAAGGAUGUUUUGCGCUAAUUACUCUUUCGAAAAAUGUGAUUAAAGAUUAUAUCACAUAAUAAUUAACUUAAGUAGUCAAUGCCAACAUGGCACAAGUCAUAUGUUUCCUUUCAGAGAUAAAACACUAAUUAAAAAAUAAUAUAUUCUUCGAAAUACGUGUUAUUCCGAGAGUACGUUGUAUUUUUCUAUUGCUUCUUCAAGAGCAAUAUAUCAAUUUUCUUCUAGAAUAUUGAAAAAUUUAAUUUAUAUUCUCCAAGAGCAAGUAAUAUUCUUCAAGAAUAUGAAUUAUAAUGUUAUGUUACUUUAUGAGUAAUAAAAAUUAUUUAUGAUAGACAGAUCUACGUUUAAUAUUUUUCUGAAAUAUUAAUUAUAAAGUUGUGUUACUUCAGAAGCAACAACAUGAUAAAUUAUUAAUUUAAAAUUUAUAUAAGAAAACCUGAAAAUAUUUAAUCAUGUUAAAGUUACAUAGCAUUUAAUAAUAAUUAUAAAAUAUUUAUCCUACCAAAUAAACUAAAGCAUAGAGUAAGGAAAUAAAAGCAUGAACUAAAGAAUAAUUUUUUGUACAGACAAACAUGAAUAAUAUGUGUACAAUUAUGAAUUAAAGUAUGAAUAUAUGUAUAGAAGAGCAGCCUCAUACAAAAAUUCAUUGUUUAACCAUUUCAAUAUUUACGGUAAAAGAAGAAAACAAACAUAAUGCUUUCAUAAAAAAGAAAAAAAAGAAAAAAGGAGAAUUGGCGCAAAACGUCCCUACCUUUAGAGGUUAUUGUGUAAAACGUCUCUAUUUUUCAUUUUUUUGACAUUUUUACCCUUAUUUCAACAUUUCGUUGCACUGAAAGUCCUUUUCACUAUUUUGGAACAAAAAAUGACAAUUAUACCCUUUGAUUAAAACAAAAAAUGAAAAGAUAGGAUCUGAUGCUUGACGGCGCUGCGCGUGGUGGUGAAUGUAUGUGGUUUGUAGUGGUGCCGAGGUGAUAGUUUUUGUUGAGUUGAUGGUUUUUGGAGUGGUGAUGGUUUUUCAUGUUUUGGUGUUGGGGGUGGUUUUUGUUGGUGUUUGUGGUGUUAUUGUUUUUGUUGUUGAUGUUGUUGUUGUUGGUGGUGGUGGUAGUGGGGCGAGACGAACAAUGUUUGUAGCUAACUAUUUAGGUGCUUGUGAUCAGGUAUUGGUGAUCGAUAUCAAUCGGGAUCGAGGGUGGAGUGUUUGGUGUAUGUGACUAACUAUUUAAUUGUAACCUAAAAAAACAAUAAUUUGUGACCAACUAAUUUAAAAAUUCGUGAUCAAUGAAUUAACUGUAACCUAUAAUUUUUUAAAUUUGUGAUUGAUGAAAUAUAUUAUGACCUACGAAAAUUUUGAUUUGUGACAUUAAAAUAAUCUGUGACCAAUUAAUUUGAUAAUAUAUGACCAAUAAAUAAAUUGUGACCUAUAAGCAUGUUACCUAUGACCAUUAAUUAUAUAAUUGCGACUUUAAUAUAUUUAAUUAAUAAAAUAUUUAUAAUUAUUUAUUUAUCACCCGAAUUUUAUAUUUUGAAAUUUGAAUUGUCCCAUAAUUAAUACCCUUGUUGUAAAUUAUAAUAAAAGUAGUUCAAAUGAUUGUAUUUUGAAUUAAAAAUUAAAGAAUUUUUUCUUAUUGUCUUUGGCCCAAAUUUUGGUCUUUCUCACUACCCAAGUUUGGAAUGAGAACGAAUAGAGUGCGAUCAAGGAAGCCCUUCUCUCGUCCUGUACCGAGGAUUAAAAUAUCCUCCAUUUCUCCAUUUAUUAAGCCACUGCUUGAUCUCUAUUAAUUUUUUUUUUUUUUUGAAAAAAAUGUGUUUUGAAAUAAUGAUUUUUUAGAGAUUGUGUAGUUAAAAAAAUAAGGAAAGUUUUGCGUUCAUGUGUUAUAUUAUUUUAUAGGAGAAUAUAUAGUUGCAAAUAGGCCUGGGCAUUUUGAUCAGAAUCGAAUCUCCUGAAUUGAAACCUAACUUGAAUCGAAAAUUUCAGUCCGGUUCCUUAAAAAAUAAAGAGGGAAUUACAUAAAAUCAGAAUGUUAAAGAUUCAAUUUUGAAAAUCAGAGAUAAAAUUUAUUUAUAUAAUAAUUAAUAUUAAUAAUUCAACCAAAAUUGAAAAUUCAACGCAAACCCUCCCCGCUCAUUUCUCUCUCUAGCUCCCUCACUCACGGAAAUUGACUCUCUCCAUAUCCAUCGAACAUCGUAGCUGCCGACGUCUCGCUUCUGAUCGUCGGUAAGUAAUGACCCCUUCUUCAUCGUCAAAACCGACAAUUCUCUCUCUAUGUUCUCACCUCUCUCUGUCGGAAAGUGACCCUGUCGAAAUGAAGCCUUGAGAAGCAGCCGAACAUUACCACCUCUAUCACAGGUCGCUUCAGGGCCAAGUCGCCUGAUGUACCUCGUGAUUGUGAAGCAAAUCUUUUGAGAUAAGACCUUAGGUUAUUGUUGUGUUGUGGGUUGUGGCGGUGGCUACAAUCAUAUGGUGGUAGUAGUGGCUGCGGUGGUGGUGAUGUUCGUUGUGGUGGUAGAGGUGGGAAUGGCUUUGGAUUGAGUUGUUGGCUGUGGUAUUUUUUGGUGAUAUUUGGGUGGUGGUGGUGGUGGUGGCUGCUUACAUAUUUUGGCGUUGGCAAUGAUGGUCUACGAUGGUGGUCGUGGAAGUAGGUGCGAUGGUGAUUGUGGUAUGUUGGUGUUCUACAAUGUGUUGAGGUGGUGGUGGUUCUGACGAGUGGAACUAGCUGAAAAAUUACAUUUGGGUGAAGUUGUGAAUUGAGUAUUGUUAGUUUGUUUGGUGGCGGUGCUUGUGGUGGUUUUUGGCGACGGUGGAGGUUGUUGGUUUCAGAGUUUGGUGUGUGGUGGUGGUGUGGUUACUGUGACAGUUGUUGUGGCGGGUGGUGGUCGGGGUAGAUGGGAUGGGAUGUAGGGGGUGUUUGUGACCAGUAUUUUGUUUCUAAUAAAUAAUAUGUAACCUUAAAAAUGUAAUUAUGACCAACAAAUAAGUUGUGACCAAUAAAAAUUUUAAUUUUGUAAUCAAUCAAUGAAGUGUGACAUAAGAAAAUUUUGAUUUGUGACUGAUCAAUGAACUAUGACCAGUAAAAAAUUUGAUUUUGUGACCGAUCAAAUAAUUGUGACCUAUGAAAUUUUUUAUUUGUUACUGAUGAAUAGUGACAAAAAAAAUUUGAUUUUGUGACCAAUCAAUGAAUUGUGACCUAUGAAAUUUUUGAUUUGUGACCGACAAAUGAGUUAUGAUCAAUAAAAAUUUUGAUUUGUGACCGAUCAAUGAAUUGCGACCUAUAAAAUUUUUGAUUUGCGACCUAUAGAAUUUUGAAUUUGUGAUUUAUAAAUAAUUUGUGGCCAAUUAACUUGAUAAGCUGUGAUCAAAUAUAUAGAUUUGUGACCUUAAUAUAUUUUAUUAAUAAAAUAUUUUUUUAAUAAAUUAUUUCAUUAAGAGUAUCUGAAAUUUGAAAUUGCUAACCUUCUCCUCUUAAUUUUGAAGUAGGCUAUAAAUAAACUUUUACAAAUGAAUUUUUCCCAAAAAUAAAUUAGGAACCGGAACCGAUAACCGACUGGGUUCGGUUCUUGGUUCCUAAGCUAGAAUCGUGGGUACUUGAGUGGAACCGAUUUUUAUAAAAAAAAAAAAAUUAUUUAAAUUUUAUAGGCUUAAAAAACAUAUAAAACCUAAAAAUCCUAAUUUUGGUAGUAAUUAGUCUAAAACUUUAAAUUCUUACCCCUAAAAAAUAAGUUUGGCUCUUACUUUUUUACAUUUCGCCUUACAUCAGAUUGUUGCAUUUCAGAUGUUAUUAUGUUAAUGUUUACAAUUUGAGUUUUUUACAAAUCAAAAAUUCCAAAAAGGUUGUGGUAUAAGUUGAUGAAUCAAAGCGUUUAUUCUUUACAAUUCAAUUUUUUUUUUUAUUGUUAAUAAACUUAAGUGAUUCUUUUAAUUUUUCAUAACACGUGGCAAUUGAAUUUAAUAUAUUCAUUGCUUGCGCUGUGUUGUACCUUUUUAUUAUCUUGAGUUCGUGGUUCUCUUUCUAAAUAUAUAUUUUUAUUUUUUUAUUCAAAUAGAGUGAGUUCAAUAUGUGGACUGUAAUUUUUUGAUACUAUAUUAUUUAUGUAUUUAAUUAGUAUUUUUUUUUAUAUCAAUUCGUUUUAAAAGUAGAAGAUUUUAAGCAUUAUUUAUAAUUAAAUUAUAUGCCUAGUAUGCUUCUCUUAUGAAUCGAAUAAAAUUUAUUAAGAAAGAUAAUAUUUUUUUAUAUUAUAAUUUUACUUUUGAUCUUUACUUUAUUUUCUUCUAUUUUUGUGAGUUUUAACAUCCAAUAUUUUGCUACUUGAAAGUUUUUUAAUUGAAUUUUCUCCAUUGCAUAAAUAUUUUCAAGUAUCAGCUUAUUAGCCUAUUAGGGGCGUGUAUGGUAAAAAAAUUUCACUAGAUUUUCAUUGCUUUUUGGACCUUUUUUUUCCACCGCGGGUCCCACACAAGACUCAUUCAGUCCAAGAUUGCGGCUCCAACGGUGAGAAAUCUGCUGCCAAAUGGUCACAAUUCUGAUGAAAAUUUCUCCCAGUCAGGGCGUAAGUAUAUGUACCAAAAUGGUUUAUAUAAAAUAUUUAUUAAAUGUAUAUAAAAAUGUUAUGAGUAACCGAUGGUUUGGAUUUAGGUUUGGUUCCAAUAUUUACAAAGAUUCGAAUGGUCCCAUUUGCGAAAUAUUCGAAAAAUAAUAGGUGGUUCUAAGUAUUAAAAUACUUGCAUCGAUCCACCCAAUGCCCAGGCAUAAUUGAAAAUGAGUUAUAGAAAAAUAUAUAUUUCGAAAAAAUGGUCCAAACAAGUGCUAAAUACAAUUUGAAUAUCAAGAUAUAUUAAAAUGGGAUGAGACAGAACAUCAUUGUCGUCCCAAAUAAAUAAGUAAUUAAACAAGAUGAUAAAUAAUUUUUUUUCCCCCAUCUUGCUUUAUUUCGCUUCUGGAAAAGUCGAUAAUGGCUGCCCGCUGCCUAGGGGUGUCAAAAAGGUUCGGUGACUCGGGCGACUCGUGGUCCAGCUCAUGGCUCGGAGCCGACCCCAAAAUGGGGAGUUGGCCUGAGCCCGGGCCGGCCCGUAAAAGAAAAAAAAUAAAGAAAAAAUUAAUACGUUGCAUUGCGUUGUGAGGCAGCAUUUCUUCCAAUUAAAGGAAUCAUUAAGCUGCCAAAUUUUGUAUAUUAUAAUGAGUAACGAGUGAGCUGUGGUUACGUGACGCUCUGCCCAGGGAAUGGAAUAUCUUACUGUAUUUUUGUACUCUAUAUUAGAGUCGUUUGAGCCCCAUUAUUUGUAGAUUAUAAUGAGAUAAUCCCAACUUGAUUGGAUUUUUUUAAAGAUGCAAUCCCGUUUAGUACUUUAAACCCAAAAGAUUAUUCUAGUGGUACCUAAAGGAGUACCGAAGGGUGUGGAAUAAUCCAAACCAAACAGAGAAGAUUUUUGGCAGAACCUAAUGGUCAUUUUAAAAGCAGCUGAUAGAUGAAGACAGCUAAUAAAACAAGAAAAAGUAGAAGCAAUAACAAGGCAAGUUCGAUCACAUGCACCAACUGCCAUAGAAAUUAACUCGAAAUACAUCAAAAUAUGUCUUGCAUGAGAACUAUAGUCUCAUUUAUGCCAAAACUAAUCCACGGAGAAAGCUUAUUGAAUUAAUGAGACUGCAAAUUAUGAACAAAACCGACUAGUACAUUCACAAUAGUUACAUAUAUGACACUUUUCCCUUUAUUUGCUCCAACAUAACACCGGAAAUGUUUUCCACGAAGUAUAACUGAUGUUUGUGAUGACAGUUUUAUCCGUAUAGGAAAAAUAAAUAAAGAAGACAUCCAAAAGUAGAAAAAACAAGAACUCAGUAUCGUUCAAGUGGUUUUCACUUGCAUUUAAAGAACAAGUGUUACCAUCUAACCUGGUUGAUGCUAUGACACGACCCACUUCAUUAUUUGGCCACCAUAGAGGAUCAAACAUACUUUAGACUGUAUCUCUUCAAUCAUUUUGCAUCUGGACCCGAC
rnacentral:lncRNA from 1 species